rnacentral:lncRNA from 1 species
AACAUACAUAAAAAUUAAAAACUUUUCUUUCAUUCAUUCAUUCAAACAUUUCUUUGCCAAGCCUAGCCUGUGCAUGCACAACAUAACAUAAACCUUUCAUUGGAAUCCUCAUCAAAUAUUCCAAUGGGGUAACAUAACAUAACAUAGGCUUGGAUUACAUAAUCAUCAUAAAAAUAUUAUAUCUCAUACAAGACCAUGUGUACUGGGAAUACAACAGACUCUAGUCAAGCACAUUAUCAAACUUACAUUACAUUACAUCUCAUCUUACUUAUACAUUACCAACAAACCAUGUCCACAGCUAAGCUAUUACAUAAACUUCUCUUACUCUGCUGACUUCUCUAUCUACUCUUCACCUGCAAGNNNNNNNNNNNNNNNNNNNNNNNNNNNNNNNNNNNNNNNNNNNNNNNNNNNNNNNNNNNNNNNNNNNNNNNNNNNNNNNNNNNNNNNNNNNNNNNNNNNNNNNNNNNNNNNNNNNNNNNNNNNNNNNNNNNNNNNNNNNNNNNNNNNNNNNNNNNNNNNNNNNNNNNNNNNNNNNNNNNNNNNNNNNNNNNNNNNNNNNNNNNNNNNNNNNNNNNNNNNNNNNNNNNNNNNNNNNNNNNNNNNNNNNNNNNNNNNNNNNNNNNNNNNNNNNNNNNNNNNNNNNNNNNNNNNNNNNNNNNNNNNNNNNNNNNNNNNNNNNNNNNNNNNNNNNNNNNNNNNNNNNNNNNNNNNNNNNNNNNNNNNNNNNNNNNNNNNNNNNNNNNNNNNNNNNNNNNNNNNNNNNNNNNNNNNNNNNNNNNNNNNNNNNNNNNNNNNNNNNNNNNNNNNNNNNNNNNNNNNNNNNNNNNNNNNNNNNNNNNNNNNNNNNNNNNNNNNNNNNNNNNNNNNNNNNNNNNNNNNNNNNNNNNNNNNNNNNNNNNNNNNNNNNNNNNNNNNNNNNNNNNNNNNNNNNNNNNNNNNNNNNNNNNNNNNNNNNNNNNNNNNNNNNNNNNNNNNNNNNNNNNNNNNNNNNNNNNNNNNNNNNNNNNNNNNNNNNNNNNNNNNNNNNNNNNNNNNNNNNNNNNNNNNNNNNNNNNNNNNNNNNNNNNNNNNNNNNNNNNNNNNNNNNNNNNNNNNNNNNNNNNNNNNNNNNNNNNNNNNNNNNNNNNNNNNNNNNNNNNNNNNNNNNNNNNNNNNNNNNNNNNNNNNNNNNNNNNNNNNNNNNNNNNNNNNNNNNNNNNNNNNNNNNNNNNNNNNNNNNNNNNNNNNNNNNNNNNNNNNNNNNNNNNNNNNNNNNNNNNNNNNNNNNNNNNNNNNNNNNNNNNNNNNNNNNNNNNNNNNNNNNNNNNNNNNNNNNNNNNNNNNNNNNNNNNNNNNNNNNNNNNNNNNNNNNNNNNNNNNNNNNNNNNNNNNNNNNNNNNNNNNNNNNNNNNNNNNNNNNNNNNNNNNNNNNNNNNNNNNNNNNNNNNNNNNNNNNNNNNNNNNNNNNNNNNNNNNNNNNNNNNNNNNNNNNNNNNNNNNNNNNNNNNNNNNNNNNNNNNNNNNNNNNNNNNNNNNNNNNNNNNNNNNNNNNNNNNNNNNNNNNNNNNNNNNNNNNNNNNNNNNNNNNNNNNNNNNNNNNNNNNNNNNNNNNNNNNNNNNNNNNNNNNNNNNNNNNNNNNNNNNNNNNNNNNNNNNNNNNNNNNNNNNNNNNNNNNNNNNNNNNNNNNNNNNNNNNNNNNNNNNNNNNNNNNNNNNNNNNNNNNNNNNNNNNNNNNNNNNNNNNNNNNNNNNNNNNNNNNNNNACGAAACUCAUGCAUGUUCGGCGGCACUUUCGGCGGCCGAAACUGCCAGACAGAGACGAAAGUCUCCUUUCGGGGGCAAGCUUCGGCAGUCGAAAGGCUGCCUACCCAGCCAUGUUCGGCGGCCGAAAGUCCUUCGGCUGCCGAACCUGGUUUCUGCCAAAGGGCAGAAACUUGGCUCCCUUUGCACAUUUCGCCUCCAAACCUUCCAAACAUGCAUUAAACCUAUUCUACAACACACAUACACAAACAUACAUGUUCCUAGGGGGUUCAAACCAACAUAAACCCCAUCUACAACACAUCAAGAAACUCACAUUGUUCAAGAACAUACAUUUAUACCCAUAAACUCCAAAAACAUAACCAUAACCUAAACAUGCAUUCUAUCCCAUAGAUCUACUUAAAACUUACUUAAAACAUGCAAUGAGCUUAAGAUCGGCUCUUACCUCUUAAAGAUCGAGAGAGAGACAACCUAAAACUCGGAGGUGGGAGAGAUUGGGUUCUUGAACCUCCAAGCUCCAAAACUUUGCUCAAAAGCUCAAAUCUUCAAAACAAGUUAAAACAAAUGAAAAUCUUGAAAGAUCUAGAGGAAAAACAUCAAAGAUUGGUGAGGGACGGCGAAGAGCUCACCUUGGCCGAAAAUGGGAAAAAAGCUCGCCCGUUUUCGGCUAAGGGACCCAUUUAUAGUGGCUGGCCAGACCACGUUCGGGGGCCGAAUGUGCCUCCGCAUGCAUGCCAUGUUCGGCGGCCGAACUUGGGGUUCGGCGGCCGAACCUGGACUUCCCUCACUUAUACUUUCGGGGGCCUAAAGCACACCCGCAACGCAUGCAUGUUCGGCGGCCGAACCUGAGUUUUCCUCCAAUGCUAUUUUCAUACAAAAACUUAUUUUCUUUCAUGCUUAAAACAUAAAACACAUUAAAACAUUUCAUAAAAACAUGGUUUUACCCUACUAGAGGCUUCCGACAUCCGAGAUUCCACCGGACGGUAGGAAUUCCGAUACCGGAGUCUAGCCGAGUAUUACAAUUGGGAUUUCUAUUUGAAUAUAAGUCCUCAUAUUAAAAGAAAAGUUAAUUUGAAUAAAAUUUAAAUUUAUCCAAAAUUUAGAAUGGAUUAGAAUUCUCAAAUAGAAAAAUACUCCUACUUAAAAAUAAAUAAAUAAAUAAAUAGAUAUGCAUUAAAAUUAUAUGCAUAUAUUAUUUUCUAGUCAUAAAAAAUUGAGACCAACAUUUUUAAGAAAUAAAUUAAAUUAAAUUAUUUUCUUGAAAAUAUUACACUCAAAUAAAAUUUCAAACGAAAGAAUUUAAAUUUUGUUAGAAAAAUUACUAUUUAGUAUUUAUAAUAUUAAAAAACUCACUAGUUAAUUAAUCGAUUUUAAAAAAUAUAUUAAAAUAUCCCUGAUAUUUUAAAAAAUCUACUAGUUAGUCUCUCCAUUAAUUUUGCCGAUAAAUAUUUUACUAUUUAAUUCUUAUAAUUUUUAAAAAUUUAUUAGUUGAUCUCUCAAUUUUUUAAAAAGUUUAUUAAUUAGUCCCUUUAUAUCAUAGACAUUUUAAAUAUUUUUACUAUACUUAAUAACUAAAAUUAAUAAAAAGACUGACUGAUAGACUUUUUAAAAUAUCAGAAAUAUUUUAAUAUAUUUUUUAAAAUUGAAAAAUUAACUAGUGAGAUUCUCUAUAUUAUAGAGAUUAAAUAGUAAUUUUUUAGUUUUUAAUUUAAAAAAUUUUUACUUUUAAAAGUUAAAUUAUAUAAAUAUAAUAUAAAUUAAGGAUUGAGAGAGUAGAAUGAGAAUUAAAAUACGGUUGAGAGACAGAUAAGUCGUGAGAGAGAACGACCUAUAAAAGAAAAGCAGGGGCAUGAAGAGAUAGCCAAUCAACUACACACAAUAAUUGAAGUGGGCCCCCAAUCCCAUCCCAAUUGUGAAUUAAAAGAGCACUGAACAAAAAUUGAAAUCCAAACAGGUGAACCAAAAUUUACUCUCUACCGAUGGAAACAAGAAAGGGAAAAUUCUGCUUGUACAAUGUUCUUGCAACACUAUCAGUAUUAAUGAUGUUCUUCCAUCUUCACCAGCCCACUUCCCAGUUUGAAGUUUCUGCUGAAAAUGGACAAUGCAGUGAUCCCAUGUUGGAGAUGAGAAGUGAAAUUGUAGGUGAAGAAUUGUCAACGGAGUCUAGUCGGAGAAUUCUUCAGCCAACCAAAUACAUUAGUGUGGGAAUUCUCCGGGCAGAUCAAGCCAUCUGUGGAAAGGAUGCAAGAGGUAAUUCCUACAGUAAAAGUUGCCUGCCUCCAUCAUCCAAUGGAUAUUCCAGAGGGUGCUCCAGAAUCUACAAGUGCAGGAGUGAUUAAUUAGAUCUAUUGAAUUAAUUUCUCUUUUAGAAUUUCUAUUUCUUGUUUAAUAAUAAUUUGGUUAUUGUCUCUAUUAACUAGAGACCAUAAUCUAUUCGUAUACAUUUAAGGAGAAACUGAUUCACUACAGUGCAGUGAAUUGGAGGGUGAAAUUGUCUUUUAAUGCUAUAUAUAAUCAAUUAUUAUCCAUCCACAUAAACUGUGUUUUUUUUUUUUUUCAAUAUAUCGCUAUACGCAUAUGCCGGAUUGUUUGUCUAAAUUUCUGACAGAGAUUUCUUAAAUUGAAGUGUAAUAAUUAAUGGUAAAAUUAAAAAAAAAUAUUCAUGAAUAAUUAUGCGCAAUAAUUUCUUUAAUGAAUUAAACGUUAUUAUUAAAAAAACUUAAUUUGAUAUUAAAUGUAUUUAAAUAAAUACUAGAGAUUUUAAAUUUUGGUAUUUAAAUUUCCAUUUUAAAAAAAAUUAAAUAUUAAAUAAAUAAAUGUAGCACUAGCCAAUAGCAGUCGUUUAUCUAAGUUUGGUGAAGUGCGGUCCCUCUGCAUCUCCAUUAUGCGGCAUCCCACUAAGAUCUUCACUUUCAGAAAUAAUCAUAAAGAAAGAAAAAUUCCCAUUCCAUUCCUCUAUAAAGUGAUUGAAGCAAACCAGAAAAGAAAAUUGACCCAAAAAAAAGAAACAUGGAGCAGAAGAAUUCCAUUUUCUACAUCUCCUUCCUUGUAAUAAUCUUAACCUUACUAUUAAAUCUCAGCAACAACAGGGUUUCAUCAUCUUCUUCUUUCAGAUGCAAUGGUUCAAUAGCAGAGUGCGGUGAAGAUAACGAGUUGUUGAUGGAAUCGGAAAUCAGCAGGAGGAUUCUAGAACAGAGUAAAUACAUAUCACCAGGAGCUCUGAAGAGGGACCAACCAGUUUGCAAUGGAGGUGCUAGUGGCCAGUCCUAUAGUAGCAGUUGUUUGCCGCCCUCUUCCAAUCCUGAAACGCGUGGCUGUUCUAAGUACUAUCGUUGUAGGUCCGAUUCUCGAUGAAUCUCGUUAAACUUUUCUUUUUCUUUUUUUUUUUUUUUUUUCCUGGAAGGAUGAAAUUUCACCUGCUUAUGAUUUAAUUUCUUUCCUUGUUAAGUUUUCUUUUCUUUUCUUUAUGCUGCUUUCUUGUAUUUUUAGUAUUGAAUGGUUAUAUACUAAAUCUGUCUCCUGUGCUAACUUUAAAUUUUAGGUUUUCCUCUUCUCUAAUAAUCUAAUUUCUUUUACAAAUAAAUGUAUUUAUUAAAGAAAAAAAAAUUGAAUUCUACAAUUUAUUUUUAUUAAUACAAUAAUUUUUUAUUUAAAAUAAAUUUUAAAAUAAUAAAAUUCAAUUGAAUUUUUUAUUUUUAAAAAUUAAUAAUGAAUUCAAAUUAAUUUAUUUCAUUCAUCAUCCUUAUUAUUUCUAAAUUAAAAAUAAAGAUUUAUUAUUAUAAAUAAAAAUCAUUUUUAUCAUAUUAAACAUAUUUUUUAAAAAACUAUUAUUAAAAUUACACAAUUUUUACCAUUAAAAAAUAUAAAUUAAAAUGAACUCUCUUUUUUUAAAUAAAUAAAACAAUACCUUAAAAAAUAAAUAAAAUAAAAUAAUAAAUUCAUUAAUAUUAAUCAUAUAUGCAUUAAAAUAUUAAUACUCAAUAUUAAAUUAAAUUAAAUUCUAAAAAAAGUAUUUAUUAAUUUAAAAAUCACAAAUAAAUUUAAAGUUAAAAUAAAUGAAAAAACAAGUACGAGAGAAAAGGGAAAAAAACUGGCUUUCUGAAUGGCAACUUAAGUAAUUUUGGUACACUUCACCUUAAAUAAAAUUAUAUUUUAUAAUUUAUAAUAUUUUAAUAUUUUACAAAAGGUAACAUGAUUUAAGAAUUUGAAGACUUUUUUAGUGAAUGACAACCAAGCGUAAUCGAAGUGGCUUUUAGUGAAAGGUCCCUCCGAAGUGGAAUGCUCCUUGUCAUUAAUGCUGCGGUCCUCAUAUGGACAGCCACAAGACCUGCCAGAAAAUAUUUGUGAAGUCACAAUAUAUGAGAGAACAAACUUAUGAACCAAUGCAUAAAUAUCCUUCAUCUUUAACUAAAUUUUAUAAAAUUGGUUAUAUAUAAAGUGAUUGUUAUCUUAGAAUUUUAAACUUAUUAACUCUAUAAUUUUAAUUUGAUUAAAAAAUAAUUCUUAAAUAAAACUCUAAAUCUAAUCUUUUUUUUUUUCUUUAGAACUGGCAUAAUAUAAAUAAAUAAAAGAAAAACACAAGUUAUUAAAAAAAAAAAAAAACUUAAUAACAGCAUAUUUAGUCAUUUUUAUAGAAUCAAUGGCAAUUUAAUGGUUAAUCUCACGGCAGAAACUAUUCGGCUUUUCAAGGCGUGAAAAACAAAAAAAAUACGCCAAAAGAGAGGGGCAAAUAUGAGCAUAUUGAGUAAAUAGAGCUUGUAUCUUUUGAAAUUGAUUCCGUAGAGGUGUACAACUACGUUAGGAAAUGAUAAAAUUUGAUACAUCACAAACAAAAUUUUGGGUUUACUUCACCCAAAGCUUCCACACCUCUCGAACAUUAGAAGAACCAUCCACAACUUCUGCAACCAAACUUGCAUCCAUAACUCCUGCACCAAGAAACAAAGUUAUCCUAUCAACAUCAUCGCAAAAUGUGUCUACCAUCUCUAUCUCUUACUACUUGUGCCAAAAUAAUUCCUUUUCCCAAAAAAAAAUCACUUAAUAUAUGCCCAGAAACAUAAACGUAUCAGGAAGAAAACAUAACCGACUAUAUUAUAAGUCUUCUCGCUCUGUAGACAUACCUCCCUAGAGACAUAGCCCUCCUCGUGUUGGUUUAAAUCCAUCUUAGAAAGAAGGGCAUUUUAACAAUUAUCAUGCUUAUUUCAGUAGUAGGACUUUUAAUAAGUAAUGUUAUACUUAAGAAAAGGUUUUUGAAUAAAAUGUUUUGGCAGGACUACUUAGCAAUAUGAGGUUGUAGCCUCUACAGGCAUGAGGAGUUUGGGAUUCAAUUAGCAUUUUUGGUGUGAGAUCUCAGUUCCACAUUACCUGUAUAUCAAUAUUUCUUUUCCCUUAGCAACAAAAUUCAGAGCAAACAAAUACACAUUCAUGCAUAAAUAUAAAAUAUUGCAAGUUUUUAUUACCCCCUCCCUCUAAGGCGUGUUAGCAUAUAAAAAGAUCAAAUGCAAUACCAAAAUAAAGGAAAAAAAAAAAAAAAAAGAACAAAAUAUGAUUGGCUCACCAUCUUUCUCUACCAUGGAUAGGAAUUGGCGUGUUCCUCCACCAACUCCAAAAUAAUACUUUUUUGCUGCCAUAUAUACCACUCCAUAAGGACGCUGUACACACUGCAGAAGAAAAUAUUUGGAACUUAGGAACCAUAAAUUUGUAAUGGAAAAUAAUAUAAUAUAAAAUAACUCGAUAAUGGAACACCUUCUUUAUAAGUCCAUAGAGACUUUGUUGAGCAGAGAGUGAAUAUAUAGUCUCUGCCAUUAAAAUGAUAUCAUAACCCGAAACUGGACACUGCUCUGAGCAACAGUUCAGAUCUUCUUCACUGUUGUGUACAUGAGGAAGACAACGAUGGAUUUGAGCCCAGUCACCAGCAAAAAAACGUAAUUCCACACCAGAAUCACAAUUUUUCUCAUCUGAUGCAGUACAGUGAAAUUCUUUUGAAAUAUUGACAUUUACAUUGGGAAUGGUGAGAGAUUGCAAAACUUCUGCAUUGAAAUCUUGAAAAUGUACAACAGCUGCACCCUGAUGCAAGGAAACAAGAUCAAGAAAGACAUAUUCCAAAUCCCUCACCAGUUACCACAAAAGUGAAAGUCAAGGAUAUAUCAAUUUUUUUACCUCAAGGCAUGCAAAGAUCCCAGGAAGUCCAUGACCACAUCCAAGCUGAAAACCAUCACAAAAUCAAGAACAUAAAUUGAAACAGAAGAGACAAAAGACAUUUGUCUUAGCGCAUAUUUACAUCCUUCUAAAAGAUAAGAUGAUGUGAAUCUUAUUAUACUUUUAAACUUUAUAGGAAGAAAAUACAAAAUUCAUAAACUUUUAAUUGAAGCAGAAAAUGAACUAUUCAUCAACAAGGAUUAUAGUAGUCAACAGCAACCAAUCAUUAUCACUCUCAAGCAUCAAUGUGUGAAGCAUUGUGAAGCAGUACAAAAUCACCUGAAAAUUAGGUGCUCACCUCCAAAACUCGCUUUCCUGCAAAUGAUAAAUGCCCAUUUUGAACCUCUGAGCGGAGAGCUUUAACAAGGUCCAGUGAACCUUCCCAAAGCUUUAGUCCCCCUAAAUUUAAAAGACAAACAUAUAUAUAUAACAAAGCAUAAAUCAUUGCUCCUAAACUCACUCGUGAUAAAGGAAAAGUUGGGGGGAAGGGAGAGUUAAAUAGAGGCAAAAGGAAGGAUUCUACCAUGCCUUCAUAAAACGCACUUCUAACAGGAAAAAGGAUUAUAUGGGGGAAUAAAUAAAUCAAGCCAAAGAAAAGAACUUUUUCUCGCACCUUCAUAGACACCAGGUACUAAAUCAGAGUUAGGCAAUCCAAAAACAUCUUUGGUACUUAGCCGUCCCUGAAAGGAAAACUACAAAGUUACUUGAAAAUCUCACUUCAAUCAGGAUAGAUAUAGGAAAGUUUCUAUCUCAUCAUGUACAAAUGACAAAGAUCCAAAUUUUACAAAUAAUUGGGUAAACCAUACAGACACUAAACUUAGAGCUAAUAUUCAUUGUGAUCACGAAACUGCAUAGGCAAUUUGAUCACUGAAGUAGAACUUCGUUUCAAUUAGAUUGACUUGAUUCUGAAAGGAAAAACCAACAAUAAUUAACAUAUCAAUGCAAUUACGCACCCAAGAACAAGACCGAAAUGAUAAACACUAAUAUCUCUCUAUGUAUGUAUUGGGUCCAAAUGAAGUGCUGUGACGUGUUUUGGUGGGUUGCUGACAAAACGAGCUUACGCUAUAAAACAAAAAAAUUAAAAAAAAAAAAAAAAACUAAUCCAGCGACUAAAUUCAAGUUUCGUAACAAUGAAGAAAAUUAAUGCAAAUAAAACCACUGUUAGCUUGGAUACGAGGAAAAAUAAGAAAAAGGAAUCCGAUACAAUACCCAAAUAUAUCUCUUUCUUUUCUUUAAUCCCUUAUUCCCAACAUUUCUCCGCAACUAGUACAUGAGGAAAGAGAAAAACUGACCUUGAGCAAAGUAAGACCAUCCAAGUUUACUGGUUCCACAGAGCAUUUCAAAGUGGAUGAAACCUGACUCGUAUUGAAAUGAGUCAAUUAAGUUCCAAAACUAAAACGAGCAAAUCGCGCCUUCAUUAUGCAUAGAAUGGAAAAUAUACCUGAGAAGAAAGUACUUCGACAGGAGGAGGGGGAGGAGGGAGAGGCGGCUCAGAAGAAGAAUCGAAAAACCCUAAACCUCCCGACGUCGAAAAUAAUUUAAACGUUGAAUUUCCGGCCAUUAAUCUUUUCUGGCUUUUUCUUUCGCUCGCGCUUUCAGGCGGCUGUAGAUUGAGAUUCAAGGAAUUUCCCCCCAAAAUCAGUAUCAGAUUGUUUAUUGCUGCCGCCAGGACUGGUGCUCAGUUACGUUUUGGAUUGAAUGUUUUGUUUUAGGAGAAUUACUAUUAAUUUUCUAAAAUUUUAUUAAUUUAUCUCAAAUUCAAAAUAAAAAAUUAAUUGAAAGAAUUUAAGAAUAAAAACAAUAAAAAUUUAAAAUUUAAACAUAUCUUGUGAUAUUUUAAUGUUAAUUAUUUCAUAUUUGAUAUCAUUUUUAAAAAAUUAAAUAAAUUUAUAUUAAAAUAAUUUAUUAUUUUAUUAUUAUUAUAUUUAAUAAAUUAGAUGAUACUGUAAUUGUAGAUUAUGAUUUUAAUGUUUAUAAAUUUUACUCAAAUUUAUUAAAAUUAAUUGAGAGGUAAAAUGAAUAAUUUAUUAUAUAAACUUAAAAAGUAUUUUAUUUUUUAUAUAGAAAUUUUAUUUUUUUAAUUUAAAAUAUUAUAUAAUAAUUUAAUAUUAUUAAAAUUAAAAUGUAUUUUAAUAAUUUUAUUUCAAAAUUUUAAUUUUUUAUUGAUUAUAUAAAAGUCAAAAAUAUAAAUAUUCAUUUACUAACUUUCAAAGUUAAAUAGAUAUAAAUUACAUUAUAAAUUUAAUUAAAUUUUUAAAUAUUAAAAUUUAUGCAAAUUCAAUAAAUUAUUAUUAUUAUAAUAAAAUUUAAAAUUAAUAACAUUAUAAAUUUAUGUCACUUAAUAUUCUUUAAAUAUUAUUCACUUUUGCAUUAAUUACGUAUUGAAAAUAUUAUUUUUUUAUUAUUUUUAUAUAAUAUAUUAUAAUAUAAUAAUUUGAUAAAUACUAAAAUUUAAUAUUUUAUUAGUAUAAUUAAUUAUUUUUGAAAUAACCUAUAAAAAGAAUAAAAUAUUAAUAAAUUUAAUUUAACUUAUUAGAUAAAUUUUAAAUUUACUUAAAAAAAAUAUUUAUUAAUUUUUACCAUAAAUUUAUAAAUAAAACGAUGAAUAGAAUACCGAAGAAAAUUAUUCAUAAAUAUUACUAAAAAAUAAAAUAAAAUUUUAUUGAUAAUAAAAUCCCAUUUUUAUAUAAAUAAUUAUUUAUAAUUUUUAAAUACAUCUAUCAUUUAUAAAAAUAAUUAUUUAACAACAAUCAUCAUUUAUAACUAUUAUUAUUAUAUUUAAAAAAUAUUACCCAUUAUCAUUUAUAAUGAUAAUUAUAAAAUUUUCUUAAUUAAUUAAAAUUAAUUUAAAAAAUAAAAUUAUCAUUUAUUUUAAAAUUUAAAAUUUAAAAAAUAAAAUUAUCAAUUAUGUAAAUAAUUAAAUAUUAUUAUAAAUAAUUUAAAAGUUUAAAGGCAUUAUGGAAAAUCAUAUUAUCCCCUUCUUUCCACUUUUAUACAUAGUAUAGAUUUAACAAGGGAUCAGUGGACUGUAUAAGAGGGUAUUGAAAGACAAGUAGCAAAGCUCCAAACGCGGAUCAACACCACACUUCAUUGACUUGCCGAAACCUGCACGACCACAGUGCAUCGAUGAAUGAUACCCACUGUCAAUCAAUACGGAACCAAGCACAUAAGCAAGCAAGCCGAAACUCACCAUCGCAAAGGCAUUGAAUGGUUGCCAUUGCACUAAAAGCAGAAUGAAGCACAAUCCAAGCAGCACAUAAGCAAGCAAGCCGAAACUCACCAUCGCAAAGGCAUUGAAUGGUUGCCAUUGCACUAAAAGCAGAAUGAAGCACAAUCCAAGCCGAUGAUACACAAAGACAGAAACACACUAAUAAAAUAAAAAUGCAAACAAAAGAGAAACAACAGAUAAAAGGCCCUUGGCACAAAAGCACAAGAAUAGCUCCAGUCCAACUGACAGGAGGCGAUGUGGCCCUAAACCAGGUCCUUUGAGAAAAAGCCUCCAUGUGUAAAUUUAAAAUAGAAAAAGGAAAAAACAAACCAAAGCAACAACAAAACACUCAGCAAGGGAAACCGAAAAGGGAAAAACCAUAAAGCAAAACGAAAAACAAACCAAAAAGCCACCACAAUCACAAUGAAAAAGAGAUCAGAAAAAGAAAUCCUUAAAUUCACCAGCCAAACAAAUAUUAACCCCUUACGUCUUCACGACCUUUCGCUUAAUAAUACCCUACCUUUUCCUUUUCUAUAAUAAAAGGAUAUUAGAGUUCAAUAUAAAGCAUAAUGAAAUAGGAAUUGGACCAUUACAUGAAGAGCCCUAGCUUUGCAGGGGUGAUAACAUCUACCUCGUGAGCAAUCGUAAUGCAAAUAUGACAGGGAGUCAAUUUUGAUUGACAUAAGACUUACAAAAGCACAAAUAAACUAUCUUUUAAUUUCUUGAUAAAGAAAUUGCUUAAAAAAUAAGAAAAAAUAAGGUAAUUGAUAUUUAUUGAUUGAAAUAAGUGGGUUUAAUAGGUAAUAGAAUAAUAUUAGAAAGUUUAAUAAUUUUAGUUGUUUAAUAUUUAUGAAAUUUGAAAUUAAUAGCUAGCUUAUAGAAACUUUAUAGAUUUUAUAUCAAUCGUGGUCAUAGUUAAGUGAUAAAGGCUAAAUUUGUAUGGACCGAAUAAGACUUAUCACAUUUAAUUCCGAAUACUUUUUACUUGGUCAAUAAUCUUAAUUUGAGUAAUGAACAUGUGACCUUCUUAACCCAAUUAAUGGACAAGAAUGAAAUCGUAGCAGGCUUAGUCAAAAUGUCUUCCUAUGAUGGACGAGGUACCAGUCAUUAGAAGUCUUCCAUAAGUAAUUGAUUUAUCAAGUUUGAAGGUGAGCUUUGUCAACUAUCAUCUACUUGUAAACCUUUUAAAGGCUUAUUUCGGCAUGUCAUUUCACAUGCACAUGAUUUGAAAGCUAACGUCUGGAGCUCCAGGCCCAUUUAUUACUCCAUUCUUUAAACCCCAACCUCCCACUUUUGCUUUUUCUAGCUUGCGAUUCUUGCUUCUAGUAUCCUCUUGCAUCUUUAUCUUUAUACGAUUUCAUUUCAACCUUUAUCUUCUCCAUGCUCAAGUAAUCCACAUUCUUCUUUCUUCUUUAUUUCAAUGAACUAUUACCAAACAAAGGUUGCUGUUUUUCUUUAUUCUUUCAAAUCCCUAUAGCUUUAACAAUAAGCCACCAGAGCCAGACAUUAUCUUUUUCUCCCACCCUUGUGGUUCCUGUCCAUUCUUCAUCUUCUUCUAGUUCUUUAAGUUCCCUAUCUAGCUCCUCUAGUUCUUCCUCUGAGACCCGAAUCCAAAUCCAACCCCAUCUUAAUGGUCCUUUAAGAAGAAGGGAAAAUGCUAAUGAUGGAGAGACACUAUUAAUCCAUGAAAUUAAAUCAGUAAUUUCAAAGAGGGAUUUGAGGUUUCUAGGUACUGACUAUUGGAUUCCCUCUGAUAUGUUUGAAAUUUUUUCUCCUAGACCCAAUGUCCGUGCUGAUGAUUCUAGAUCAGUCUUAUUCUAGAAGAGGACUGUGCUAUCAUUUAUAAGGAAUAAAAGAGGGCUGGGCUGAGAUUUCCCAUAGAUCCAUUCUUCACAGAUGUCCCUGCCUUUCAUAAACUUUCCAUCAGCCAACUUCAUCUCAUCUUUUGGAGGAUUUUGGUGGUUUUUAAAUACCUUUGUUCGAACAAAAACAUAGAGGCGAGCAUAGUCAUCUUUUCCCGGCUAUACCAAUUUAGCACAAGGAACGAUGAGGAGUACUGGUUUUUCAGUUGAUGGAGGCAUCACCUCCAGACAUAAAGGAACUUCUUUGAUAAACUCAAAAAAGAAGGGAAAAGUUCUUCUCGGGAGGAGCUUGAGCUAGUUGAACUCUCGAAGAAACUCACCACCUAGAAAAAGUUUGACAUAACCAUGGUGGUGAGAAAUAUUGUGCUAGCAUGGCAAAGUUAACAAUAGGCUGAGAGGGUGAGAGAUCCUUAACUGGUUGAACAUGCGAGAGUGACUCAUGACCAGGAUAAUCUAUCAAAAUUCUUCUAUUAAUCUUGCAAUACUUACUUUUUUUUUUGUACAAACAUGGCCGGAAGAAAAAGGAACUAGGCUGACUCCAUAUGUGUUGCUAGGAACUAGCCUGAGCGACACUCCAACACUUUCUUCCCUCAUAGUGAGGUCAAUCAUUCUUCUAAAUGACAAGGCCUGCUACGAGAUGAUAGAGACGACAAAUGACUCUAUCCUUAUAGUAUUUGCUCCACCAUGGAGUGUUUGUUGGUCUGGUAAAUAUCAAGGGAAAGAGAGAGGCUAAGAAAUCAAUUUUGGAAAUAUGUUUGAAAUAAGCCCCUCAACUUUCGUAGAAGUCUAAAUAAGUCUAACUUAACUUUUCAGGCUAUAUAAACCCAAAACUUUAUAAUGAAGGUUAAAAGUCCUAGCAUAGUAAAAUAUUAUUUUUAUUAUUUAUAUUUUAAAAUAAUUAUUAUUGUACCCUUAUAGUUUGGUCUAAUUGUAGUUCUAAAAAUACAUUAAAAUGCAUUCAUAGUUUAAUUUCGUUAAUUUCCUCAUUUUCUCCAUUAAUUAAUAUGGAAAAUAUUUAAAUAAUCUUACUUAAUCUAUCACUUCCUUAAAUUCUCAAAUAUCACCUAAACAUUCUGACAACACAAACCCUAAUUCUCAAAUUCUUUCAUUUUUUUCUCUCAAAUUUUGGAAAUUUGAUAUUUUUGUGAUUUGAAUUUCAUGGGUGUUUGAAGCAUAGGUUGUAGCAGAUUAGGAGAGCUUAAGAAUUGAGGAUGUAGGACAGAUUGGAUACGUCAUCUUUGGUAAAGCAGAAGGUGCAUUAGAAUGAAGAUUUGACCAAAAACACUAGAAUCCAAGAAAGAAGAGGGAAAGGGGGUGGAGGAGGCUAGUAGAAAGAAAAUAUUAUCUUAAUUUUAUAUCAAAAGAUCGGGCUUAAUUAUUUAAUCUUAAACAUAAAUUUCUAGAUUUAUUUAAUUAAAAAUAAAUAAAUUAGACCUAUUUGAACUUUUAUAAAACAUUAAGAGACUUAUUUGAAAUUAUUUGUAUUUAAUUAUCUUAUAACAGUAAAGAUUGUUAAAAAUAAAUAAAUAAAUAAAAAGACUACUCUGAAUCUCAGCUAUCUGCCGUUAAUUUCAACUUACAGUCUGAACAGCUGAUAUGGGCAUCACGUGACAAUCAACGGUCAUGUCCAUUCAGGUCAGGACCGCCCUUUCUUGUGUCGGCAAGACUUUUUAUGCUGUUCAUGGUAAAACAUUGAAUAAAGCAUUGUCAAAAAAAAAAAAAAAUUCUUUUUAAAAAGGACUAUCAUAUAUUUCUUUUGCAUUUUCUCUUCAGCUGAGAAAUCUCUCGUCUUUGGCCGAAGGUUAAGGCUGUGAAUCUUUUUCUUUUGUUAAUGAAUUUUAUUCUAAUUUCAGUCCAGACUGAAUUUUUAGAAUAAGUUGAACUCAACCACAAGAAAUGCAAAAGCAGCAGCCACUAACAACAAAUUGAUCACAAGCAAGAGGAAAGAACUGUAAUAUGGAUAUUCUCUUGUAUAUAUGAUCUACAUAUAUCACUUGUUUGCUAAUAAUUACUGGAAGAACAUUCACUAAUGAUUAAAAUUACAAGCAUAAUCACUCUUCUCCUACAUAACCAGAAAAAGUAUACUUGUAAUCAUCCCCUUCUGCAAAUCCAAUGCUAGGAUCCUUUCUCUCCUUAAUUUCCCACCUAACUCUCUCUAUUCUCUCAAGAAUUCCCUUGACUGCUAAAUCAAAUGCAUCUUCAAAGGUCUCCAAUCUAGACCUGGGAUCUGCAUAUAUGAUCCUUGGAAUGAGCUUUAUAACCUCCUCUCUCAUGGCCAUUACUCUAUCCUGCGGUAUUCUAAGUAAUGUCUCGUUUAUGCCAGUUUUCCAAUCUUUAACAUCUCUCACAGGUAUGUAAACAGAAUAUUUACUAUAAUUCUUUGGUAAAUGCCACUUAUACUGAGCAUAAGCAGUGCCUGGAUGAAAGAAAACUGGAAUGCACCCUGCCAAAAUCGAAUCAAAUAUGGAUCGCCUAGUGUAUGAAUCACCUGUAGGCUGCAAGCAGUAAACUGAAUUCUGAAACAAUUUCAUCACAUUCGCUGGAUUAUCACAAUUAAUAGCACCAUUAACACCAUAAUCACACUCUAACAACUUGCAUAAGUUCUUUGAAGCUAGGCAUUCCUCAAUAAUCUUUCCUCGAACAGACUCUUGAAGAUCAGGCCUUGGGGCACCAGCAAAAGAAAACAAGUAUGGCCUUUUUUGUCUUCUCAUCUUAUCUUGCCAUUGCAACACCUCACUAUCUUUUGAAGGAUGAAAACAAGUUGGAUAUGGUAUGGCAUAAUCAUUGUUCCAAGAGCUAGACUCAAUUGCCAACAUUGACAUGUUAUUAGAUUCUGGCAAGAACCUAAACUUGCUACCCCAAUCAGAUUCAUUGUCGGUUUGCCUUCUAAAAUCCCAAGAAAUCCUCCCUGCAACCAAGAAAUGGUCUCUACCCAACAUUUUCUUCCAUUCAGGCUUUUCAACAAGCCACUUGACUAGAUCAAAAGCAGAUUGAUCUCUCACUGAUGUUUUAACACCCCAAAGGUAUCCGCUAACAUCAAGACCCGCAUAAAAUGGGAUAUAAAUAGCAGAGGCACGAGAAGAAUCAUUAGUCAAGCAUUUGUAUUUCUUCAUUCUGUAGUGAAAAAUGACUUCUAACAAGAAUUGAUUGGUAGAGUACCAACUCUUGUUUAACAAAAUUCCUUGAGAAUUUUCUACCUCAUGACCCAAAGCAUAAUUAACCAAGUAAGGACACAUGUUAUGCUCAGUCCCUACUGUGAUUGACCCACAAUUGUCAAGCAAUUCUUGGUUGAAUCUCUUAGGAAGACGAUGAAUAUAAAUGUAUCGACCCAAACAAGAAUCCUUAUGAUAAUCAGUUUUCAUGGGUUUAAUGGAGGUUUCUUUGAGAUUUUCAGGGACCUGGACGGGUUUGGAUUUUUGGGCAGAGUUUGAAUUUUCAUAGUUGCUAACAAAAGCAGUGACCCUUUCUUGGGUUCCAGUUAGAACUGAAUAAUCAAAGCAAAACAACACAAAGCAGAAAACAAAGGAAACAAGAAUGACCAACCAGAGUUGAUUCUUGCAGCAAAGUCUUGUAAUUUGCUUCUCCAUCUUCUCCUGAUAGGCCUUCCGAGAAGAAGUGUGAAGUGCUUAGAUUUCUUGCAUCAGAACACACAAUUUGGGAGCGGUGAAGUGGAAAAGAAGGCAAGAAUCUCAAAAAUCCCAGUGAAGUGAAGAGAAAACGAGGAUUAAAGCUAAAGCUGGGUUUGGAUUUGGAAGGAAUUAUUAAGAUUUAUGUUUGGAUUCGUGCCUAACUUUGAGAGAGCGGGCAAACGUCCGUUACAUUGUGGGGCGAUCGAAGACAAAAAAUUAAUGUUUGGGACAACUGUCUCAAUUCCCACAGCAAAUUCAGGGUUCUGACACGCGAGACCGACGGAGAGCCGGGGGUUAUUACACAAUAACCAAAUUGAUCGAUAAAAUUGAUGCUUUUGGUAAAGCAAUAUUUAUUCCAAUUUAAUUAUCGUAAUAAUUUUUUAGAAUAUUCAAUUUUCGGUUAUCAAUUUUUUUUUUUGUUAAGAAAAAUAAUUUAUAACUCGAAAUUUAAGAUUGUUGAUAGCCCAAAAGAGGUGAUGAAACAUUUAAUCCAUAGACCAGUGUGUCUCAAAAUCAAAUAAUCUACCUUAAAUAUAAACCAAUGAAUUAGAAUUGUGUUUCAUAAAUAAAAACAUUGUUUUUUACAUUAUUAUACUUUCACAGAUUUUCGUAAAACAAUGAGCACAAUUUCAAAUUCCCUGCCAUAAAUAAAAGAAAAACAAGUUUCAGCACAAAAUGCAAGUUUCAAUACACAUGGAAAGCAUGCAAGAAAAGUAUACAUAACAAAGUUCACCAUCUCAUUUUUAUUUCAUCUUCUUCAACAUCUUCAUACAAAUAGUUUAAAUUAAUGUCAAAUACAUGUCUGGAAAUUGUGUUUGCUUCUAGUAAAUAUUUAAUCUAUCUUUGUAUCAAAUUUGCUUGAACAUACAUCACCCUUUUCAGAAGAUUGUGACUAACAUUUCCCACUAUUAGAAAAUGUUUAGGCUAUGAGAUGGGCAAACAGUAAAUACAUCAGGCUGUCAAAGACUCAAAGGUAGGGGAGAGCAUAAAUCGGUCUGAAUCGAAAAACCGAACUGAACCGAUCAAUUUCGGUUUAAUGAUUCGGUUAAUCGAAAGGUUCGGUUUGGUUCGGUUAGUAUUUUUCAAUUUAUUUGAUUUUUGAUUUGAUUCGGUUUAAACGUGUUAAAUAACCGAAAAACUGAAAAAUUGAUUUUAUAUAUAAAAAUAUUGAUUUUAUAUAUAUUUUUAAAUUUUAUAUGAAUUUUUAUGGAUUUUUUAAGUAUUAUUAUUAUUAUGUAUUCAAAUAAUAUUUAUUGAUAAAUUUAUGUGAAAUAUUUAUUAAAUUAUUCUACUGAAAUUAAAAAUAAAAAAUUAAAAAAAAUUACAAAUUUCGAUUUGAAUUGAACCGAAUCAAACUGAUUUUUAUCGGUUUAAUUCGAUUCGAUUAUAUUUUUAUAAUCGAUUUUUUUAAUUUUUAAUAUUUUUAUAAUUCGAUUUUUAACUUUUCAAUUUAGUUCGAUUCGGAUUGCACAGCCCUAGUCAAAGGUCCAAUAUUUAACAGAAUAUUCUAUGAAAAACUCUUAAAAAGAAUUGAAAUUGAUCCUCUUUCUGGACGGUGCCGCAAAGCCAUGAUCCAAGAUGGAGCCUCACAGCCUGAGGCUACCAUUACACUAGCGAUAUUUCAUAAAACUAGAACAUCUUCAGUGUAGAAAGUUGCCUCUCCUCCAGCCCUUCCUGCUCUGCCAGACCCACCUAUUCAGAAGUGGACAAAGUUUAUGUUAAAUAUAAAUAAAAUUUAUAUUUAUUUAAAUUAUUAUUUUUUUUACAAAAAUUAAAAAUUUUAAUUUGUAUUACUAAUUUUAUUUUUUUUCUCUUAAAAUUUCCUUACAAAUUUAGAACACUUUUAUUAAAUUUAAUAUUCAAAUUAACUUUUGCACCAAUGUGAAAAUAGCUUAAAUAUUGAAUUAAAAAAUCUGAAAUUUAUGAGAAAAAAAUUUAUUUAUUUAUUUUAUCAGUAUAGAGUCAAAAUUACAUUUUAUUAUAAUAAUUAUAAAUUAAUUUAAAAAUAUUUGUAUGCAAUCAAAUGAUAAUUUUAGUGUUGUAAUUGACUUUAAGACAAAAGAAUUCAACAAUAAGUUGAAUGAUUUAAAAUAAGUUUAAAUUUACGAUAAAAUUAUUUAUUCAUAGUUCAGUUCAACAUGUAAAGAAAAUACAAAUAUCUUUAUGCUAAAAUUUUACUUAAUGUUGUCGGUUUAGUCCAAAAUACUUUUAUAUAUAUUUUUUAAACUAAAAUUAAAUUCUUCAAAAUUCGAUUGGUCUCUCAACUCGAUUCGUUUACAUCCCUAAAUAAUAUUUUUUAUCUUAGCUCAUUCUAAUUUUAUAUGAACAUAAAUAAACUUUUGUCUUAAUUCAAUUAAAUUCCACAUUUCUAAUUAACUCAAUUAAUUCACUUGAAUUAAAUUUAAAACAAUUGAAUUAAAUAUAUCAUAAUAUUUAAUACAAAUGUAAUAGAAUAUAAUAUAUUAUUAUAUAAUAUUAAUCCUAUGGCUGACGUUUUUAAUUAAUUAGUAUAUUAUAUUAUAUUACAUUGUAAUAUAAUAAUAUAUCAUUAUAUAAUAUUAUUUCUAUGUGAAACAAAUUUUUUAUUAAAUAAUUAAUUAAAAAAUUUAAAAUUAAUCUAAGUAGAACUGCUUUUGAAACCCAUGUUGAAAUAAUUUAUUGGAGAAAAAAAACACACACAUCUACGUGAUUUUACUAGACAUUCUAUGCAUACUAGACAUUAUCUUGAAGAGAAUGUCACAGUGACGUAGGGCAAUUAGCCUUAAACUUUAAGGCAGAGUUGAAUUGAACCUAAUUUUUGCUGUCGAUAUCCGAUAAAAAUCCACGGUAGCUUUUUAAAAAAAAAAAAUCGAGACGUACGAUUUUCAAAAGUGUGACAAGAGUCUCAGACCUAUCACAAAGUUCGAUAUGAAAAUUCCAUCAUUUAGAGAUCAAUUUUAUAUUUUAAUUAUUUUUUUGAAUAUUUUCAUAAUUUUGUAUAUUAUAAUUUUAUUUUUAUUAUAAAUAGUCUCUUUUAUUAUUAGAAACUCACUUUUUCAAUUUUUGAAAAAUUUUACUUUAUCCAGUUUUAAAAAAUUUUACUUUUUUAAUUUUUAAAAAAUUUCAAUAAAAUUGGUUGUCUUUUCGGCUUAUCUUUUUUCUUAUAUCAUUUUAGUCAAACGAUAUUUAUUAAAAUUUCUGAUAGAGUUUAAUUAGUCUUUUAUUAUAAAUGAGAUAAUGAAAAUGUAUAAAAGAGAAAUAGGAUAAUAAAAUUAUUUACUUACCGUAAUUUACCAAAAAUUAGUAGAAUAGAAAUCCUCUUAAAAUUAAAGAAGCAGAAACAAUAGAUUUGCUAAAUUAAUAAUUUUUCUAAUAUUAUUGUAGUGCUUUGAUAUUUGAUUCAUACACUUCAAGCUACACCUGCUAAAAAUGCUAGACAUGCCCAUGAUAUAUACAAACAGUAUCAACCGUUUCUGAUUCUCAUUUGACAUUAUUUUCUUUUAUAAAAGAGGGGCAAGGAGAUACAAGAGCUGCAACUUACUAUUAGACUAAAUAGAUGGAUGCUUCAUACCUCAAAAGUCACAAGCCUAUAGCUAACACCAUCAUCCAUUUACACAAACUCUUUGCUCCUAUUGAUUCCUCUCUGUUGUGUCAUCUAGAAUGGUGCCGAGAAACUCCUUGAAAGUUUUGGCAACUUCAUGCUUUUUGUUCUCACAAUGGCUAGCAGAAACUGCAAGGCAUCAAAACCAUUGAUAAUAUUAUUUCCCAUAAUUUGAAGAAUAUAUAUAAAAAAACUAACCAUCUGAAUCCUCUUAUGCUGGCUUUUAACAUGAUGUGCAUCUUAUUAUCCUAAUUAAAUUAAUAAUGGAUCAUUCAUUUUUUUAGCACAUUUGUUCAACGUACAAACAUUAUGUAGUUUUAUCAAUUUUUCAUUUUAGAGUCUGUGAUUUAAUUUGUAUUAAAAUAGUAUAUAUAGUAUCGCGCUAUUAGUAGAAAGUGACUAUUAAUAAAAGGCCACAAUUUUUAGAGAGAUGUAAAAAUUGUUGAUAUGAAAAUUAUAUUACGGGUUACAAAUUUAACGAUGAAUCUAAGAUGAUCCAUCUGGUUUGACUAACAAGAGAGGAUUUCAUCAAAUUAAUUUAGAUGGUAAAAUAUACUUUCAACAAAAUCAAAUUGCGACUUAAAUUAUACCCUUACAAUCCUUUUUAAGAGGUCAUUCUCCUUCUUGAGUGCUGUAUUUUCCAACUGUUGUUGAGCUUCCAGAGCCUGGCAUGCAAUUAAAGAGAACAGGAGACAAAAAAGAAUAAAGAAACCAAUAACAAAUGGUAAAUUUAUUACCAACGGAUUUCAGUUGGUAAUCUGUUGGUCACUAACAAUAGAUUCAUCCAUUGGUAAAAUCCGUUGCUAUUACAAUAUACUAUCAUAGUGUAAAAAGAAACAUGAAAUCGUUGGUGAAAUAGCUGAUAUAAUCUAUCCCUUGUCUUUGAUAAAUGAUUUUUAUGAAAGGGGAAAGAAAGAAAUGUUAGGGUUGGAGAGAGGAGAAAAACUUGCCUGUUUUCUUGCUCUAGACCUGGCAGCUGAUUCUCGAUUUUUUAUCAUCCUGUGGCGGAUUUUCUCAGACGCUGAUGUAUGGACAAAACUUGCGCCACCUCUGCUAUAAGCACUCAUUUUUUUGCUAUUCUCAAAACUGCUAAGUCCCCCAUUCCAUACUGAUUGUUGAUAUGGGCUUCCCUUGUUAAAAACAUUCACUUCAGAUCCUCCAUAACCAUUCAUUCUGUUGCCAUUUUCGUUUCUCAUCAUCAACCCAUCAACAAAUUGACAGUAAGGUACGUUUCUUGCCUUAUCAACACCUCUCAAUUCACUUGCAUUACAUGCACCGAAGCGAUUCGUAACUUGGAUUGGCUCGUUCCUGGCAUAUUCACCUCCAUAUACUCCACUUCCAGCACUAAAACUAGCAGCAGACCUGAGUCUUUCUUCAGGUUGAUCAAGCCCACUUAUUUUAAACUGGUCUGAACUAGACCCAGUUCCUAUAGUUAAUGCUGCACCUUGAAGGCUUCUCUGCUUCUUAAAUUGAAGCAGACUUCCUUGUGAUUCAAAUGGGUGUUGAUAUUUUCUGGUAAAAGAGAUGCUUUUGGGCUGAAUCUUGUCUUCAGCAUUAGAAAGAAUUUCGCAGUGCUGGGGUGUCCGGACUACUAUUCCAGUGCUUAAAGAUAAAUCAGUUAAUGGAAAAUUAGACUGUGGUUCUUCAUCAAGAUUUAGGCGAGGAGAGAACAUGUUAUACAUGUAGCUUGAAGAAGAUGCUGUAGAGAAAGGGCUUUCUGUUCUCUGAUCGUGAAGAGAGAUUUGAAAAGAAACUGCGAGUGAAAUUAAAACCACUAAAGAGAUCAGAGGAAAGAAGCAGCUAGAAUGGAGUAGAACUAGAUGACAGAAACGAAAACAAGAUGUAAGCAAAUUUGGUAAGUUUGCAGAGGAGAGGAAAAGGGAGGAUUGACGAGUGGCAAAGAUGCUAUUACAAAAAUCAACAUGCAAGAGGUCAGCAGUUAGCACAGGAACCAAAGCCAAAUUCCAUUUAUAUUAAUAUAUAUAUAUUCUUGUGUAUACUGAAUUUAUAAAUAAACAAUAUAUAAAUACAUAAAAUUUUAUAAUCUUUGAUCUAAUUUUUUAAAAAUUAGUAUAUAACAGUCAAGAUUUUUACAAUAAAUUGUAAUUUUAUUUUAUUUUGAAAAUUAAUUUAAGAAAGUUGUACAUAAUUUCAUAUGGCAAUAUAAUUUAUUUUUUAAGUUUUAAUUUAAAAGUGUAUACUAAUUGUACUCCGAAAUUUAGUCUGGUGGAAAGUGCAUCCUUUGUAUACUCUCCCAAUCCCUAUUUCAAAAAAAACAAUAAACGUCUAUACUAAUUAUAUAUAAAAAAGAAUAGAAAACGGUUGAAACCGAUGCUUCGUGUAACCAAACUAGUUUUAAUGCCACAACAAGACAAAUACAUGAACUGUUCCAUUUGUCAACUUAUCAUGCUAGAAUGAUCAGAGAAUUUUUUUUUUUUUUUUUCCUAAUAGAAUAUUCUAGUGUGGUUUUAUUUUGUGAUUGCAAGUAAAAAAUCCUCGUAUUAAAAUAAAAAUGCCACUCGGAAAUAUAAAUUUAAAUAUUAAGAGAUUAAAUAUGUGUUAUUCACUAUUUUAUCCUAUUAUUCAGAGUUGGUUCUUCACUAAUUUACUUUGAAUUUUUAUUAUUUUUAUUUAUUUAUGAUAUAUUAUUAUUUUAUUUAUUUUUAAAAUUUAUUUUAAUUAAAUAAACAAAUAAGAAAUUGAAAAGACUAAAAUACCCUUAGUAUAAUCAUAAUAGUCGAAUUUGUCCUAUAUAUAGAUAUGAGUAUUCAGUCGAUUCGAUUUAAAAUCGAACAGAAUAAAUGAAAAUUAAAUUUUUAGUGUUUAUAAAAAUAGAAUCGAACUAAUUUUGAUUAGAAAUCAAAUUGAACUGAAUCAGACUGAUUCAAUUGGAUUCGGUUCGAUUUGAAUUUUUAAUAAAUUUUUUAUUUUUUAAUCUUAAUAAAAUUUAAUCUCUGUAUUAUUGAAUAUAAUAUAUUAUUAUUAUUAAAUCGAUUCGAUUUAAUUUUUUUAAUUUUUUUCUGAACAAAACUGAAUUGAAUUAAAAUUUUAAAAUUAAAAAUUAAAUUAAACUGAAAUGAAUAAAAAAUUAAAUAAAAUUUUUAAAUUAAUUCAGUUCAAUCAAUUUUAUUUAUCUCCACUCCACCCCUAUAAAUAAAUCGAUAUGUAAAUUUUGCUACAGUAGACCCAUAGAGCCUACGGUAGAGGUCCCAAUAGACUGCAUUGAAAACCCUUUAUAAAGGUGAUGGGCCUUUGGCCUCCUAAUUUUUUUAGGAUUAAUUUAUUUUAUUUUAAUUAUUUUAGGGUUGUGACUAAUUUAUUUUCUCCUCUCCUAUUUCUUUUAUGCCCUUUUGAUAAAUAAUUUCUAUUCUCUUUUCCCUUUCUUUAUAUAGGUUUUUAAAUAAUUUUCACCUUUUAUGCAUGCAAUUGAAAUUAGUAAAAUAAGUUAUUCAAUUAAUAAUUUUAAAAUUAAUUAUGAUAGAAACAUGAUUUACAUGCAAGAGUCAUACAAUAAAAUUAUUUUCAAUUUAUUUAUGUGGACUUAAAAAUUAUCUAAAAUUUCUUAAUAUUUAUAUUUUUAUUGUAAAAAUUAAAUAAAAAUUAUCACAUUUCCAAAUUUUGAUCUUAGUCAAUUUUUAUAGGUGUAAAAACUCGAAUAGAAAUUAUUAAUUCAAGAGUAUUAAUAUAGAGAAAAAAGGUAAAUUAUAUUUUAAUUUUUAAAUUUAGUAUAAUUAAUGGAUUGAUAUUUAUAUUUUUAAUGCUGAAUAUUAAAACUUUCUAUAAUUAAUAUGUUCAGCUAUUUUUAAGUGAUAUCAAUUAAAUUUUAAAUAAUUUAUAAACUUUUACAAAGAGUAUUUUAAAAAAAAAUUAUAUUUUUAAAAAUUUGAUAAUUUAUUAAUUUUGAAUUAAUUUUUAUAAUGGACGGAUGGAGGAUGGUAGUUUUGGAUGGAUUGAAUAUUGAGGAAUUUCAAAGUUUUAUAAGGUCAAAAAAUUUUACUUAUCCUCCAAUGAAAUAUAAUGUCCCAACAGUACAAAAGAGAAUUCCCUCUAAUUUCUCUAUUAUCUUUCUAUUCAUUUCUCAUCCUUGAAUUCCUUUUUUUCUCUUAUUUCCCCUCAUGAAUUUGCCCUCGUUUUCCCUCUACACAAUUCAGAUCCAAACAAGGGGCAAGACCAAAUGCUUUUUGCCUUCGCCUUUAAAAAUGUAUUUUUCUUUCAAGGGCCGGGCUCUGUGUCCUCGGAAAUAGUCCUCUUCUGCUCCCAGAUUCCCCAGAGUCAUCUGUUUCAGCUACACACACGGUGACCAUGGCUGCUUCAAUCUCUACUUCCCUCCGCUUAUUCACAACCAGAGUUCCAAUAUCUUCUUAUUCAUUAAAACCACUAAUCUCAACAGUAAAACCCAUAAAUCUAUCCUUCUAUAUUUUCUCUAGGCCUAUAUCUUUCGACAGUAUCGCUACGAAAAAGCCAUCGCCAGUGCUUGUAUCAGCAUCAAGCGCUGCUUCUCUGCAACCCAUUGAAGAACUCCCUCCGAAGCUUCAAGAGAUUGUCAAGCUCUUCCAAUCUGUUGCGAAACCCAAGGCUAAAUACGAGCAGCUCCUUUUUUAUGGCAAGAACUUGAAACCACUCGAUACCCAAUUCAAAACGAGAGACAACAAAGUAGAAGGUUGUGUAUCCCAAGUUUGGGUCCGGGCAUAUUUAGACACCGAUAGGAAUGUUGUAUUUGAGGCUGAUUCGGAUUCGGUUCUGACAAAGGGGCUUGCAGCUUUGCUUGUUCAAGGGCUUUCGGGGCGGCCAGUGGAUGAGGUUUUGAGGGUUUCGCCAGAUUUUGUGGUGCUUCUUGGAUUGCAACAGAGUUUGACCCCUUCAAGGAAUAAUGGGUUCUUGAAUAUGUUAAAAUUGAUGCAAAAGAAGGCACUUGAGUUGUAUUUGGAGGCUGAGAAGGGUAGUGGGCUUGGGUCGAAUUCUGGGAAUGUUGACAGGGAAAAUCUGAACGAUGGAUUGAGUAAGAAAAAAGAGAAUAUUGAAGUGAAAGGUUCAAAUAGCGGUGCUGGUGUUGAGAACUCGAGUAUUGCAAUGAAUUUGAGUGAGAAUUUUGUUUCGAGUUCGGAAUCCAAAGUUGGUGGUGGUGUUGGUAAGGAUUCAGAUAAUUUAGGGAGUAGAGGAAAAAGAAUUAAGGAGAUAUUGGAGAGAGAGUUAAGUCCCACUGAAUUAGAAGUGGAGGAUAUCUCUUAUCAGCAUGCAGGGCAUGCUGGUGUGAGAGGAAGUGACGGUGAGACACAUUUCAAUUUGAAAGUUGUGUCAAAAGAAUUUGAAGGGAAGAGCUUGGUGAAGAGGCAUAGGCUCGUCUAUGGUUUGUUGCAAGAUGAAUUACAAAGCGGCUUGCACGCGCUGUCAAUUGUGGCAAAGGCACCGGCUGAAGUUGAUGCAAGAUGAGAGUGCCAAGGAUUUAUGGCUAAUAGGUUUAUUAUACCUUCUUGAUUACAUUUUAGUGAGUGCAAUAAAGAUUUUAGCUUAUAGGUUAUCAGGCACAAUGUUCCUAUAGGUGAAAGAAAGUGUUUAUCAAUGCUUGAGAAUGUGUUAACGUAUGAAUGCUUAUUGUUAAUCUUUACAGUGCUUAAAUGGACUGUUGAUUUUUAUUUAUUUAAUUAUUUUGCAAAGCAUGUGGGAUAUUUGUAAUAAAAGACAUAUGCUGCCCUAAUGUUCUGCAUUUUAGUCCAAGUUACUAUUGCUAAAUGCUGCAAGUCAAAUAUUGGUGAACUCUGCUUUUUAUGUGACUGCUUAGAAAUAUCUCAAAAUUGGAGAUUGCACUGAAGGAAUGUAGAUUAAACAUGUGUAUUUAAUCAGAACAGUAAAUCUGCAUUUAGUACAAGGAUGCCUAGUCUUCAAUCAACAAUUCUCUAUUUAACCUCAUGAUUUGUGUUUUGCUUUGGUUAGUUUAGUUCAUAUUCUCUUGAUUUAAUGUUUCAUAUAAAGCAAUUGAACAAUUUGGUUGGGCUUUAAACAUUUGGAUAAUUUUCUGCACAUACAAAUGCCAGAUUUCCCUUUGCGAAAAAGUGUUUCAUUUUAAUUUUAGUUGUAUAGAUGAAAGGGAGUUAUGCAGUUAAGAAAACAUUAGCAUGGCCUUGGGAAUGGUUGCUGAACAAUGGAUAAAGAUGUUUAGAUGAAUGGAAACAUGAAUAAAACAUAUGGACAGUGGCAGUUAAAGAAGGGGCAUCUACUUUUGUGAAGGUCUGAAGGCUACGUGGUACCUUGGGAUUAAAUAUCCUAUAUGCAUUAAUGGCAUCCAAUCAUGUUCCUAUAUAUUGCUUGAAUCUUCAAUUGUUCUUUUCAAGUGAAAAGGAAACUAUCUGGCUAUGGCAUAUAACGCCAUUUACGAAAACACUGUUGUCAUAGAAAUUGAAACGGAUUUUAGUUUUAGAAAUUAGUUUAACGUGAGCUGGAUGCAAGGCUUGUAACUUGAGCUCAAUGGGAAGGAUUGAGGCAAAUUUGUAGAGAUAAAUUACUCUUUCUUUUUCAAAUUUUGCACUAUUUAUUUUGGAGAACCUUAGAACUUUUAUUGAUACGAAGUGAUAAACACUGCCUUUUUUUGAAAAUAGUUAUAGAAAUCCUGCUUUGCAACUUUUGUGAACAGAUCUGUGAUACCAGCUGCAUCUUUUUAUUCUUUUGCAAGAAUUAUAUUUCAAGUUUCACUGUAGUUCAUUCCUUCUACAAACGUCUUAUCUUUUAGGUGCCAAAAGAAGUAGUGAGAGUGAAGAGUCUAUUUUAUGUAUGAGAUCCUUGUAUUUUGACUGCUUCAAAGUUGAAGCUCUGAAUCUUUUGACAAGUGUGUGCAAAGUGCAGAAGCAAGAAUUGAGUGUAGAUGCAAUGGAAUCAACCGGAAGGUGUUGCGCAGGUAAAUGGAACUUGUGAACAUACCAUAAAACAUUCUAAUGUGAUGGUUAGUCUAUAGAGUAUCACAUGCUAGAUAUUUAGUAGCUACUCCAAGAGGUCUCUUCUAUGUACAUUGUUGACAUAUGCUGUACUGUUGACAUUGAAAUAUCAAUGAAACAUUAGUGCCUUCUGCUUGAAAAUGUCUUUUGGGCAUUGCUCUUGUUAGGUUACAAGUGUGAUUUUGUUACAUAGGCACUAAUUCUGCAGAAGAAAGAGAAGGAAGAGGGACAGAAGGAAAAGGAGGAAGAAGUAGAAACAGAAGAAGGGAGGGAGAGAGAGAGAGAGAGAGAGAGAGAAGGAGAAGGAUAGAGAAAAUUAGAGAGAGAUUAAUUGUUGUAUUAUUGGAUUCUUCCCGUCGCUAUUACAGUGCCACCCUAUUUAAUACAAUAUGUUCUACACAUUCUCAUAGAUCCUACUCUUAGUCAUAACAUUCCCCACUCCUUAAAAUAAUUCUUGUCCUCAAGAAUGAAUAAGGAAAGCAGCAAUAUACCCAUGAAACUGUUGCCUCCAUAUGUAAUAUGUUCCAACAUCAAGUGAUUUCAGGAAGGACUUCUGUUGCAGCUGCUUGGAGUGGCAGUUGGCAAACAAAUAGCUGCAGCAAGGGCCUGAUUUUCUUCCUCUGUCGUCUCCUCAAUUCAAACUCAGUUUCUUUUAGCAGUAAAUGACUGCAGUAUCCCAAAGAAUCCCUCUUCUUUCCCUGCCUUCUCCUAAAUUCAAACCUCUAUUCUUUAAGGAUCACAAGAUAAUUCAGCUGCACUUUCAAAUUAAAAAUACCACAAGAUUGAUCCCAUCUUUCACAAUUCUUCCUUCCCCUGUUUCAUUUUUUUCCUUAUCAAGAACAGCCUCAGCAACAAGAAAAGAUUUUGAAAUCAAUAUUCUUGGAUUAGAAUCGAAUUUAUCCAACAAUGCCCCACACUUAUUCUCAAGAAUUUCAGCAAAGGGAAGGACCAAAAAAUAUUGAAUUGAAGAGUCUACAUCUUCAUCAAAUAUUUGAAAAGAAUUUACUUUGGAUGUAAGAACCUGACUAGUCUUCCCAUCAGAAUCAUGUUCUUGAAGAUUAGGACAACCAAAAUCCAUAAAACUUUCUUCGUCCUUUGCAAGACCAUCAUUGCCAUCAGAAUCUAGAUUCUCUUUUUCAAAAUUGGAACAUUCUGAAUUAUGGAAAUCUGUGUUAUCAAAUUCUUGAUCUUCAUCAAGAUUGUAUACUAUCUCACAACUUUCUUCCUCAAUUUUGCGAACCUUCAGAUAUGGCAAGCACCAAAUUCCCCUAGUAUCAUUCUCAUGUGAAGUGGAUUCUGGAUCUGGAACCGGCUGAGAAAUAGUUUCCUUAUCUUUUGAUUGUGGAGCCCUUAAUUUCUCUAUCAUUUGUUCCAGUUUUUGGACUAUCAAGUCUAUUUUCUGGUUCAUUUCUAGCUUUAAUUGCAGCAGGUCCUCUUUAUUCUUUUGUUGAUUUUCCAUCAUUAAGGGAAUGAGGAAGCAGAAGAAGUGAAUUUCAAAAAAGAACAAAAUGUGAUUCAAGAACUCAAGAAAUGAGAAAGAAGGAACAAUGUCUUUUUCUAGAAAUAGAAAUGGAACCCUAGAAGUGAGAUUAGAUGAGAAGAGAAACAGAAAUGGAAGAAAGAAUGAGAGAAUAUAGAAGAGGAAAGAGUAGAAGUUAGGGGAAAUAGAGAAAGAAAGGGAUGACGAAUAGAAGAAGAAACAGAGAGAAAAGCAGAACUUCGAUGAGAGAGAAUAGAGAGGAUUAGAGGGGGAAAAUGAUUAGAAUCUUGAUGUUUCUUGGAUUUCCAAGAAAUUCAAGAAAGAAGAAGACGAAUUGUAGAAAGAAGAGCAGAAGAAUUAUGGAUCCAAGAAAGGAAGCAGAAGAAGAGAACAGAAAAAAACCUGGAAUUUAGUCACUGAAUCUGCAGAUUUAGUGCCUAUUGAUUGUAGGCUCUGAUACCACUUGUUACAUAUGCACCAAAUCUGCAAAAGAAAGAGAAGGAAGAGGGACAGAAAGAAAAUGAGGAGGAAGGAGAAACAGAAAGAAGAAGGUUGAGAAAGGAGAGAAGAAGGGAGGGAGAGAGAGAGAGAGGGAGGAUGAGAAAGAGAAAGAGAAAAUUAGAGAGAGAUUAAUUGUUCUUUUAUUGGAUUUUUCCCCUCACUGUUACAAUGCCACCCUAUUUGUACAAUAUGUUCUCCUACACAUUCUCAUCAUCCUACUCUUAGUCAUAACAGAUUCCAUGGGAGAUCUUUGCGGACAACUUUGGUGAUUUGUAUGUACUUAUUUUUGUGAAUAGCAUGACACAGAAAUCCCCUUCCAUUCCAUGCUUAUUUUGUUAUAGAGGGCAGUAGGCUGUAGGUCGGAGGCUUGGGGGGACCAACCUGUGGCCAACAUAUUCUCAGUGGUUUAUCAUUUUAAUUGGUUUGUUUUUGUUCAUAAACUUGAUUAAUCCGAAUAAUCUGUUUGGUUUACAGUUCACAGUAAAUAAAUGGGCAAGCUGAAGCAACUCAAUCCAUUUUAUGGUUAUAUUAUUAUUGAACUUUCCAGACCAUAAUAAUAUGAAGGAAAAGCAUUAUUCUCACCGUGCCCACCUGGCCUCCUCAUUUUCAAGGUUAUAAUAUUGUAAUUCAACAACAAAGAGAAAUCUCCUCUAUAAGAGGAGUGUUCUCUUCUAUCACAAUUUUGAUGCUAGACAACAUUCCACAAGGGACAGAUCCGUGGAAAGCAAAUCCACAUCAUUGUCCAGAAGAAAAAAGGCAACACCUUCCUAUAAAAGGAACUUUUGCCUUUCUCUCUCUGUAUUAGGCUUUUUCUCCCUGCAUAGGCUUUGUCUAGCUAGUUCAAAGUAAAAAAGCUCUAAAGGUUUGCUAAUUGUUGGGUUGUGUUGACUUGACUGGUAUUAUAAUUUAAAUUAUAGUUACCUGAAACUUUUUGUUUAGUAGCUUCCUUGGUUUCAGCUGGGACGUAUUCCAACCUAAGUAGACUGGUUUGUUCAACUAUUAUACCUUUAAAGGGAACCAAUUGACAUGUAUAUCCCUUCCAAAGACAAACUCUUUUAGUUACAGCUUCUCUAUUUUUAACUGCAGGAAAAUUUUUUCUCAUAUUUAGUGGAACAUUUGAUUGGAAAAUGUGUUUUUAAGAGUGCUGUGAUAAACUAUUUAAUUUGUGCUGCUAAAUGAAAUGCUUGUAUUAAGCAUUGGAAGAAAACUAGAAAAUCAUGCAGUCGCCAAGUUUCAUUUCCUAAUGCUGGCACAGAAUAUGAGAUAAUUGCAGAUGGUAAAACACUGUAAUUAUGGGAUACCCUGAGCUUAAGAUGAAGUCCUCUAAUGAUUUCCUUGAAGAAUCAUACUGUUGAUGCAGAAAUCAGUGACUAUUCAAGGUACUCAUGUUAGCUGGCUUUUUAUUUAUGUGCUUUGGCAUGUUUCUGCAGUUUUCUGCCUGUUGUUCCUUGAAUUUCGGUCUUAUAGCAGCUCAAUUACUUCUUUCUUUGGUUCAGUUUUGGGAAGGAAACAGAACGAAAGGAAGCAACAAGGGAAUAUCAAGAGAUUUGCUGAACUUCUGUGCUACAUGCCCAUCCACAUGCUUUAAAAAUGUCAGAUCGGAUCAUGUUAUACAAGGGUACUGCAACCUGGACACAAAUGGCGUUCCCCAUAAACAUAGGUGAUUUAGAUCAAUUAAUUUCCUUGAACCUGGAGACAUACUUACCCUGAAAAUUUCUAUGCUCAUCAUAAAAAUAAUUAGAACUCAUCAGACCGUCAUUGCGGCUUCCUCACAUAAGAGUCAAAAGAUAAUAAUGCAUAUGCUCCCAAGUUUCAUUGUACUUCAAUUACACUUUUAUCUCAACCUAAAUGAUUUUACUAAGAAUCAGAAUGCAUGUUCUGGUCUGAAUUCCUCUGGCUUUUGAAGAGAAAGCACUGGUUGUAAGGAUAACAAUUCUACAUUAGCAUCCUCUGUGUGCUGGUGUGCAGAGAAAUUUGUGAUGUUAAAAGAAGGGGUGUUCAUGAUGACAUACAAGUGAACAAAACAGUAUCUUCUAAAGUAUUUAUAUUAUUGCUUUAUGAAAUUAGCAUGCAUUCUUCUCAUUCAAGAAGUUUCUUUGAUUGUAAGAUGAAUUGUGAGGCUGUCUCCUGAAAGCUAAGGACUCACUUAGCUUUCGUGGAUAGUCUUACUGUUAGAGCAUGCUACAUUGUCUAUCUUGUCAGACUUUUGUUUUGUGAUCUGGUUUGUGAAAUUUGUGAAAUUUGGUUUAGGAGAGUUCUGUGAGUUUAGUUCUUAUAUCACAGUAGGAACUUUUUCUUAUAAAGUUUGGAGUAUUGAGUUCUAUCUAAAGACAGCAAUGGCUAUUGUUUGAGGUUGUGCUAGGAAGAGCUGAAAGCUAGAAAGAGCAUUAUUGACUUUGCAUAAGGUUUGUGAAUGUUGAAAAUUAUUAGUAUUUGUAAUUCUUCCAUUUUUUGAUGGUGUUUUGUCUACGUAAUUUGGAGUAGGCUUGGUUGAAUCUUCCUGAAUUAUAUGUUUGAUUGUUAGUUUUCACGCCUUUGAUUCAUAAGACAGCUAAUGCAGCAUUGAAAGAGGAUUAAACUUAGGAAUUAUAUUCAUUACUGAAUUAAUUUUAUUAAGUUUAGAAAUUUUUAUUUAAUAAUUCUAUUGGUUUAUUAUUACUUUCUUAGUUUAAAACUAAGAAUUCUUAAAUACAUUAAGUUUACAAAACUCUAUAAAUAGGAUCUAGGAUCACUACAUAUUUAGACAUUUCAUUAAGAUUAUUAUUCAAAAUUAAAUGAAAAUUUAAGAAUUAGUUUCUCUAGAAAAUUUGUGUCUUAAAAAGUCUAUUUAUCAUAAUCCAAAAGAACCAAACCCAUGUUUAAUUCCUCCCCCCCCCCCCCCCCUUGCCGCUUAGAAAAACCUCGCAAUGUCUUGUGAAAUAGAAUCUCAUGAUCCUUACUACCACUACAAGACUACAGCGCCCAGAGCAUUGAUCGAUAGCCCAUCACUAGGUGAACCUACCAAGAAGAAUUAGACCUUUGAGGUGGCCCAUUGAUGGAUACUAUGGUGUCAAUGUUAAGGUGGGAGACCUUAACAGAAUAUUAGAAAAGGGAGGAAGGAAAUUUAGAGGAAAAAGGAGAGAGAUUGAGGAGAAUUUGAGAGAGAAAAGAGAUUGUAUUUCUUAUAUCAAUUUCAAUGAUGCUUUAAAGUAUGAUCUUCUCUCUAUUUAUAACUAUCACUGUCUAGCUGUUAUAACUAACAACUAUUACAGCUAUAUAUUUCCCCUGCUGUUAUAACUAAUCCAGCUCAUACCCGAAUCCCAUACAUUCUAAACCAUUUUACAUAGUUACUAUUAAUUGUUGCGUAACUUUUGGACCCUUUUUUUUUUCUUAUGCUGCUUUCCUCUGAUAUGUGACAAUACCCCUCCCAUUAGCACUUUCUUGUCCCCUCCCAUUAGCACUUUCUUGUCCCCAAGAAAGUGAGACAUUUGGAAAUUGGGAGGUUAUAAAAGUUUGGUCCCGCCAAGUUGCAUCCCCUGUAGGUAAAUUCUACAACUUAAUGAGGGCCCUGAAAGAUGUGGUGGAACCCCUGGUGAUUGUUCUAGUCUGCAAGACCUGCUCUGCUGCUAUGAUAACCUCUUCUUGCAUAGCUGGCGGGUCCACCAAUGGAGUAACUUGUUCACCCAACUUCUUUAACAUGGAGACAUGAAAUACUGUGAAUGGUGGAAUUUGCAGGCAGCUGGAGCUUAUAAGCAAUCUUUCCCACUCUAACUAUCACUUGGUAGGGUCCAUAAAACUUGGCAGAAAGCUUAAGAUUUGUCCUUUUCCCUCUAUCCUACCUUUGUCUGUUUGUUGUUUCAUCCUGUUCUGGACCAAGGAUAAAUUUUCUUUUAGGGUGUCAAUGAGCUGCUGCUCUGUAACAACAGAUCUUCCACAGACCCAACAAUAGGCAAUGACUUAGGAAGUAAAGGUAAGAAGGAAGGAGAGUACCCAUACAAGGCCUUGAAUGGAGACAUUUUUAUGGAACUUUGAAAAGUGGCCUUGUACCACCACUCUGCCAAACAUAUCCGUUUGGACCAAGUUGAUGGCUGCAAGUGACACAUGGACCUUAGGUAAGCUUCCAAACAUCGAUCAAGCCUUUCACUAUGCUCAUCAGUUUGAGGGUGAUAGGCUGUGUUGAAGGAGAGAGUUGUGCCUAUGCAUUUAAAGUGAUCUUUCCAAAACAGACUGCUAAAGACCUUGUCCCAGUCUAAAAUAAUGGAUUCUGGUGCUCCAUGGAGUUUAAACACAUGAUGCAUAAAAAGUUUAGCUACAGUGGAAGCUGUAAAUGGAUGAUUGAGAGGAAUAAAGUGCCCAUAUUUUGUGAAUCUGCAUACUACCACCAAGAUUGUGUCUUUGCCACUAAACUUAGGGAGACUUUCAAUAAAAUCCAUGGAGAUAUAUUGCCAAGCUUGAUCGGGAAUGGGUAGAGGCUGCAGCAACCGUAGGCUAGCCACAUUCUCAUGCUUGCAUCUAGCACGUGUCAUAACUUUUGAUUCGCCUUAUAACAUCAGUAAGCAUCCCAGGCCAGUAAAAGUGUCUCUUCAACCAUAUGUGAGUACCAUUUAUGCCUGAAUGCCCACCUAUAGGAGAUCCAUGAUGCAAGUGAAGUAGCUGAUCUCUCAGGCCAGUAGCUCAACCCAACAUAAAGCUUAUUCAGGCAGUACAACAACCCAUUUUGAAAAUGAAAUCCAGGUUGAGCAGAAGCGUCUAUGGAAAGCUGCUUAAUUAACUCAACAGCUUUUUCAUCCCCUUCAUAACUUUGAGAAACAAAAGUCAUCCAUUUAGGAGUAAUGGAUGAUUGCAGCACAAAGGAAGCAGCAGUUGUCCCACUAGGCUGUCUGGAUAAGGCAUCUGCUAUCUUAUUUUCUAUCCUUUUUCUGUAGAUAAUCUUGUAAUCCAAUCCCAAUAGUUUAGACAUACCUUUAUGCUGCGUAUGUGUUUAGCCUCUAUUCCAAUAAAAUUUGAUGCUUUCAUGAUCAGUUUUAAUGAAAAUCUGACCUUGCUUUAAAUAAUUCUUCUGCUUCCCUACUGUAAAGGAGAUUGCCAAUAGCUCCUUGUCAUAAAUUGAUAGUCUUUUGACUUCUAGGAUCAAAUGCCUUGGAGAUAAAUGCAAGGGGAUGACCCUCCUGCUGCCACAAUGCAUCCAUUUCCCAAUUACUUGUUUCUGUCUCAAUUGUGAAAGGUACGGCAAAAUUUGGCAAAGCCAACAUAAGGGCUUCUGUCAUUGCUUUUCUCAAUGUGGGGAAAGCAUGCUAAGCUGAAGAAGUCCACUAGAAAGCAUCCUUUUUCAGUAGAUUAGUCAAAGGCUUUGCUAUAAUCCCAUAAUGGUAAAUGAAUUUUUUGUAAUCUGUAGCCUCUCCUUUAUGAGAAAUGAUAUGCCCCCAAAUACUCAAGCUCACGUUGAAGGAAGGAGCAUUUAGAUUUUUUGGCAAAUAGCCGUUGCUGUUGUAAGACACGAAAUACAGUCUCAAUGUGCUUGAAAUGGGAAGAUAAAUCAUGGUUGUACACUAGGAUAUCAUUAAAAAAAAAAAAAAGAAAACUAAUGCCAAACUCCUGAGAAAAGGUUUAAAAAUCUCAUUCAUUAAAGACUGAAAUGUUGCCGAGGCAUUAGUGAGCCCAUAUGGCAUCAUAGAGAACUCAUAAUGGUCUUGGUGGAUACUAGAUGCUGUUUUAGGUAUUUCAGGGGUCCAUAAUUUGGUGAUAUCCAGCCUUGAGAUCUAUCUUAAAAAAUACAGCUACACUAUGUAACUCAUCUAGGAGGUCAUCAAUUAUAGGUAUAGGAAAUUUGUCUUUUAUGAUCAUGUCAUUGAGCUUCCUAUAAUCUACACAGAACUUCCUUGUUCCAUCUAUAUUUUUUGGAUAAAUUAUAUUUUAGUUUCUGAGUUUAACUGUAAUUAACGGAUCGUUUCCUGUAUAAUCAUUCCGUUUAAAUCGUAGGUCCUUUCAUUCAUAAUUCCAUUAGUCAACCGGUCAAAAGGAAUAAACAUUUUAAAUGCCUAAAAUACUCUUAUGAACACUUAAAUCCUUUUCAAUAUAGGUGAGAAUUUUAUAUUAUUUAAACUAUACUUUGGCCUCUAAAUUUUAGUGUACUUGACAUAUCAAUCAUUGUAUUUGUAAAACUAAAUUCUUAAAUCCCUUUAUAUUUAAUCCAUCUAAAAUUAUAAUAAUUUCAUUCAUUAUAGACAUUAGUUCAAAACUAGUGGAUGGUUAAAUUUCUUAUGAAAGUAUAAUUUUUUCUUAAAAUACUCUUUAUAAAGGUUACUUGGUAGUACUUAAAAAUAGCUGAAGUUAUAAGUAUUUUCUGAAAGUUUUGAAGUUAUGAGUAUUGAAGUAUUUUAAUGAAUGAAAAUUGAAGAAUGAAAAGUAUUAAAAAUUAGUGAAAUGAGAUAUUAUAGACAAAAGUUAAUGAGGAUUUAAGUGUUUUUUCAAAUAAAAAAUGAAGGAUUAAAAUAUUUAAAUUAUAAUAGAUGAGAACAGACUGAUCAUAGAGGGGUUUAAGUAUAUGAUUUUAAAAAUACAAGAUCGAUCCAUUAAUUAUGUUAAAAUUUAAGAACUCAAGUAUAGUGGAUUCAUUUUAAAGGGGUAAUAAAGACAUUUCCACACUUUUAACAGCAAAAAUGGAUGGAGUGAGCUCUAAUUUGGACGGAUUGAUUAUAAAAGGAUUCAAACGUUCGGUUUUAAAAAUAUAGAGAUCAAUUCGUUAAUUAUGCUAAAACUCAGGACCAAAGUGUAAUUUAUUCAUCUUUUUAACUAGUAACAUAGGAGAAGCAUAGGAGUGAGCAUUCAAUCGAUUUUAUUUUAAAUCUAACCAAAUCAAAUAAAUGAAAACUGAAAUUUUAGUAUUUAUGAAAAUCAAACCGAACUGAUUUUGGGUAGAAAUCGAUUUGAAUCGAACUAGUUUGAUUCGAUUCGGUUUGAUCAGUUGGACAUUUUAUCUUUUAAAUCUUAUUUUUAGUGUUCUAAAAUUCAAUUGAAAUAUUUCAACCUUAGUUAUGAUCUAAUCUCUCUAUUUUAUAAAAAAUAAUAUACUAUUACCCCUAAUCGGUUCGGUUUUAUUGAUUUUUUUCUGAUCAAAAUUGAACUGAACAAAAAUAAUUGAAAUUUUUUAAAAUAAAAAUCGAAUUGAAAAGAAUAAAAAAAUUGAAUCGAAUUUUUGAAUUAAUUCAGAUCGGUCUGUUUUUUCGAUUUGAACUGAAUAUUGUUCCCCCAAGCGUAAGGGCUUCUAUUGGGUUGAAUAGUAGAGGAAGCUAGCAUUUCAGAGACCUCUGCUUUCUGGCAAUGAGGUAUCUGCAGGGUAUGAUGUUGACAGGAGAAGCUGCAGGUUUGAGUAUGGUAUGAUUGUGACUUCUAAAGGUGGUCAUGUUUGAGGCUCUUGGAAGAUAGUCAUAUUUGUGGUGUAAGGCUUCUAGGCAGCGUGGGUUUGGGUAGUUUCAGCUGCUGUAAGGUGGCUGGGUCUGAUAGGAUUAGGGACAAAAAUUGGAAAUAAAGGAGAGUAAAGGUCAUUCCCCUGUUUAUGCAUCAAUUCCUGAAAUUCCUCAUAAUCCACCAGCAUAGCAAUGGCAACAGAAUCUGCUAACCUUUGCAAAGUCACCAGCUGAGCUGACCUCUUCUGAAUGUAAUUUUAGAGGAUUCAAAAUAAAAAAGAAUGGGAUUGAAACUCCUCAUCCAAUCAAUUCCCAAAAUUAUAUCAAAUCUUCCUAUGUCUAACACCCUAAAAUCAAAAUAGUACUGCUAGUUCUGUAUUUUCCAGCUAAAAGAUUUACACAUAUGCUUGCAGAUUAUUUUUCUUCCAUUUGCCAUAGUGAUAUAGUAGUGGAGGGAACUGGAAUGAGUAGCGAUCCUAAGUCCACCACCUUGUCGAUAAAACUAUUAGUACUCCCACUAUCCAUCAAGAUAACCAAUUGCCUAUUCUAUGAACCCCCAGCAUCUUAAUUGUUUCCAUUUCUUGGCUUCCCUCUACAGUAUGAAUAGACAAUGUUGCCUCCUCAGGCUGCUCCCAAUGCUCCAUCUCUUCUGGAGCGUCAUGCCAAAGUUCAUCCAUAUCUAGCCCUGCCCCAUGCAUUGCCAUUGCUGUUCUUUUAUUUACAUUGAUGUGCUAGAAAAUACCUUUCUCCACAUUUGUAACAGGGUCUUGAGGCAUUUCUAUUAUUGAGGCUGGAUUGUAGUGGUGCUGGUGUUAGGUGUUGUUUGGGUACCAGUAGAGGGGUUCGUUGUUGUUUGGGUUUUAGUAGUGGAUUUGGCUGGUUUUUAAGUAGGUGGGCGGUGAAUUACACAUUAGUUUGGAAUAGUGGUAAUGUGUCCCUUGUAAGAGUUAACUCAAAUUUAAUAUGGUAUCAGAGCCUCACAUCGAUAUUGGCCUCCUGUAGUGAGGGGUGCGUGGAAUUCCACAUCGUUUCGAAAUAGGGUAACAAAUAGGGUAACGUGCCUCUUAUACGGGUUUUAGACACUCCUCACCCUUGAGCUAACAUUUGGAGUGAUUUAAGUUUGAUCCAAAUUUAAUAUGAUAUCAGAGCCUCACCAUCGAUGUUGAAUCUUUCGUAAAUGUUUGACGCUCCAAUAUAGUCCUCCUGGGCGAGACGGGGGUAUGUUGAAUCCCGCAUAGAUUUGAAAUAGGGAUAAUAUGCCCCUUAUAAGAGAUUUAGGCAUUUCUCUUUUUGAGCUGGUUUUUUUGGGAUUAGUUAGGUCUAACCCAAAUUUUAAAUGGUAUUUGUUAAAUUUGGGCUAGGCCUAACUCACCCCAAAAGCUAGCUCAAGGGGAGGAGUGCCUAUGGCCCAUAUAAGGACACAUUACCCCUUUCCACAAGCGAUGUGGGAUUCAACACACCCCUUCACGCCCGGAAUUUUUUACUGGUGCGUGAUACAUUUAUGGGAGGCCAACAUCGGAUGGGGAGGCUCUGAUACCAUGUUAAAUUUGGGCCAGGCCUAACUCACCCCAAAAACUAGCUCAAGGGGGAGGAGUGCCUAUGGCCCAUAUAAGGGGCAUAUUACCCCUUUCCACAACCGAUGUGGGAUUCAACACACCCCCUAACGCCCAGAAUUUUUACUUGUGCAUGGCACAUUUAUGGGGCGCCCAACAUCGGAUGGGGAGGCUCUGAUACCAUGUUAAAUUUGGGUCAGGCCUAACUCACCCCAAAAGCUAGCUCAAGGGGGAGGAGUGCCUAUGGCCCAUAUAAGGGGCACAUUACCCCUUUCCACAACCGAUGUGGGAUUCAACAGUAUUAGAGUCUCCCAUUGAUAUUGGAUCUCUUUUAAAUAUUUUAUACUCCAGUGCAAUUAUGGGUAAAGAGUGUUGAGGGAUAAAGAUAGGGCAACGUGCCUCUUAGUCACUCCUUCACGUUGAGCUAAUUUUGAGAGGAGUUAACCCUAGUUUAAAUUUAAUAUGGUAUCAGAGCCUCUUAUCGAUGUUGGGCCUUUUCUAAAUGUUUCACGCUUCAGUAUAUUCCUGGACGUAAGGCGGGUGUGUUAAAUCUCACGUCGGUUUGAGAUUCCUGGACGUAAGGCGAGUGUGUUAAAUCCCACGUCGAUUUGAGAUAGGGGCAAUAUGCGUCUUAUGAUGGUUUUAGGCACUCCUCCCUAUUGAGCUAACUUUUAGGUAAAUUAGAUCUGAUUCAAAUUUAACAGUGAGAAAUCUAUGAUGGGUGGUUUAGGAGGGUAUGGGUGUGUUUGGCUAAAUGGGGUAGUCUUACCAUGUUUAGAAAGGAACACAUAGAGGAAUUAUGGGUUUGGUAAGUAUUUUUUAGAGUGUUUGGGUAAUAAUAAGGCUUGUAAGGAGGUCCCAACUUCCUACUAUUCUCCAAUAAUUGUUCCUUCAAUCUAGCCAUCUCAAAUGCCUCAUAUGAGUUUGCAAGUUUUAUCAUUCUCAUCAUAGGUCUUAUAUCAUCUCUCAACCCACUUAUAUUAUAAACCCUGAUGGAAAAUAUGCCUCAGCCAAUUCAGGCAUCACCCUUUCUAUUUUCACCCUAAACCCUUCAAAUACAUCCUAGUACUACCACAAAAUUCUCCUGCCUAAAUCUCAUAAAUUCUUCCACAAUGUCAUCUAUACCCUGUUCCUCAAAUCUGUUACAAAGCCCCUUCACAAACUCUUCCCAAGAAUUGGAUCCAUUUUUAAUCCAAUUCUAAAACCAUGCAUCUGCCCUUUCAAUCAAGAAUAACCAAGCAAUAUUAAGAAUUUGAUAGAGAAGAGAGAUUGUAUUUCUUAUAUCAAUUUCAAUCAUGCUUUAAAGUGUGAUAUAACUAUCACUUUACAGCUGUUAUGACUAACAACUAUUACAGUUGUAUAUUCCUCCAGCUGUUAUAACUAAUCUAGCAAAUCCCAUACAUUAUAAAUCACAACUCAUUUACUAGUUACUAUUAACUGUUGCCGUAACUUCUGAACCCUUUUUCUUCUUAUGCCACUUCUUCCUUUGAUGUGUGACAAUUCCCCCAGCUGGUAUAACUAAUCCAGCUCGCACCCGAAUCCCAUACAUUCUAAACCACAACUUAUUUGCUAGUUACUAUUAUCUGUUGCUGUAACUUCCAGGCCCUUUUUCUACUUAUGCCACUUCUUCCUCUGAUAUGUGACAGUCAAGUAGCGUGUAGAUAUGCAACCGGAUAUUUCCAGUUUCUAGCUUCUGACCCUUCCUCAUGCUUUGUUGUUAGUUGAAGAUUGUUGGGUAAAAAUAUGUUAAAGAACAUAGGGAAAGACUUAUUGAAUUAUGUAAUUUACUGCACUGUUCAAUUACUCUAACUGUUCUAUUUAUAACAUUAAAAACAAAAUAAAAUCUCUAACAACUAGAUAAGAUAAUUUAAAAAUGGAAAUACAAGAAUCAUGAAAACUAUAAUUUAAUUAAAUCUUGAAGGAUAUUCUGAAAACCAAAUCAAAACUGUUUGAAUUAAUUCCAACAAAUACACCAUAUCUAGUGUUGGAAUUUCUUGUAGAUGCUCAGUAGCGAGAGCCUGACAAGUUGGAUCACAAGUCCAGCCAAAUUUGAAGAAGAGCUCACACAACUAUGAGCUACUUUCCACCUGAUUUGCUCAAGGUCAAUGUCUGAUCACUUAGUCACAUUGGCUACUGGCUUCAGCAUCAUGUGACAUCAUUCAAAUUUUGACAUGAUCCAUCAUACUAAUUUUGUUGUGAUGAUUCUGAUUUUGAUAUCAGCUUGUUGAAAUUUGUGUUGUUUUCCUCUCCUCUUUCCAGUGAGGUAUGCUUCUUUUUAGAAUUUCAUGUUGUGGACUUACAUUGAGACUUAUAUCGAGAGACUGCAAGAUUAAAUCGAUUAUGACAAAUUUGUCAUUGAAUAACUAUAUUUUGAAAUCAAACACCACAUAAGUCAAUUACUUUAUAGAUGCCAUUGGAUAGAUAAAAAUAAUUGUGAUUGUGUGUUAUGUUAUUAUUUAAAUGAUCAAUAUCGAGAAAUGAAAGAAAUUUUAGUAAGAAAAGAGAAUAUCGAGAUAUCCAUGAAAUUUUGUGUCUUAGGAAAAGAGAGCGGAAAAACGCAAGGAAGAAUGUUUGAAAUCACAGGUCGAACCAGAAAAGCAACUUGAAGUCGAAGAUGAGCACAAUGAAGAACAUGCAGCAACAUAAAGCUGGAAUUCAAGAACAAAAAGAACAGCCUGAAGAAUCUGAGCUUUGAAGAGUUUGAUUAUGAAUAAUCUGAAACUUUGAUAGCUGAGCAUUUGUAUGUCGAAAUCCAAAAUGAACUUGGAAAAAAAAUUGAACAACCUAUUAUAGAGAAAAAGCUCCUGAAUUUAUUCUAGAAAAGCUUGAGGAAUCUAUCUUGGGCAAAUAGAAGGUCGACCUAUGGACAAGACAAUUUGAAACUAAAAAUUUAUUAGGAUCUUUGUUUCCUUGUGAAUUAAAAAGAAUUUCUAUUGUUGUUUGGCUGAUUUGUACAAUUUGAUGUUGCUAGAGAUUGAAGGAGAAGAAAUGAAGUUCUUCAAAGUGCUACAUAUUAAGAGAUCUUGUUGUGAUUUUUGUUGAUAGUUAAACAAUAAUUUGAGAACUAGUUUCUCUCGAGAGUUUAUUUCUCUUCUGUGUCUUGAGAAUUUAUUUCUCUUGAUUCCUUUGUUCUUGUUCUACAUCAACGACAGUGUUGAAUUUCAAGUUAUCUUGAAGUGUGAGGCUUGAUUUUUAUACAAAUUUAUAUAGACUUGAGUUGGUUAACAAUCUAUUAUCAUCACCAAAAAUCUCUUAACUUCAUACUCUUGCAAUUACCACAAUACCUUCAACUAUAAGCAUCUUGAGUACGUGCAUGGGUAAAAUGUCAGUGUUUUUGUGUUUGUGCAUUUUAUGUAUAAGCUUGGAGCAUUUAUUUGUACAUUCUUAGUUUCUGAUCAUUUUGAAUCUAAUUUAUGAAGAAAGAUAGUGGAAUGUAUAACAACUCACAAUUAAAGUGAAAGUAAUGUGGAGAUCAGCUUACAAAUAUUUAUUGAUAUUUCCAUGAAUCUGACAGAUCCUUCUCUUAGUUCAAGUUCUUUGGAUAAUAGAACUUUCAUAUUUCUUGAGAUGAGAUAGUGAGAAGUCAAAGAUUUGAAAGAACCGAAUUUUAUUACUCAUUCUCUUGUAACAUCAGCAUUUGUGCUUUAUCUUUGCUUUCUCCCUUCUACUGUUAUAUUGAGAGGUUUGCUAGAAAUUCUGGGGGUUCAUCAUAAACUAGCAGGAUAAUAGCAAAAUCAUGACCUGAAAUUGAAUUGAUGAUAAUUUUCCCCACCUUAUCUGACGUUAAUAUAACUUCCGCUGCUUUUGCAGUGGGGUUGGGUAAUGCUAUAUACAAGAAUUCUUUGCUAUUGUUAGGAUGAAUAGCAGGCACUUUGAUAUCAACACUUCUAUUGAGAAUUUCAGAUUUCAAUCCAAACAAAGUAGGAAAAGUAAAAGUAAAAUUCUUCUGAUUUUUAUCUUUUUGUUUUGCAGCUUCGGGCUAUUAGAACACCAGUUGGUGGAGCUGUCAUCUCUAUUUCACACCUGCCGUGUAACCAGUAUGAAUAAUGGAACAAACCCAGCGUAGCUUUCACUUUGAAAGUUCCUCUUAUGUUAUAGAUGACUUUGUUGUUCUGCACCUGCUUUUGAAGUUCUGUAGCAAGAUUAUGGGGUAAAUACACUAAACUUGAUAUGAUAUGAACUGAUUCCAACCUCUUCUCUUUUUGUCUCUGGGUAAAAGGUUGAAGAGCUUGAGUUCCGAUGAGUCUGUCAAAAAAAUAUAACUCUAUUUCCACAUACUCAAAUCUUAUAUCAAUUUUCUGGUUUGGGUUGGAAAAAUUUACUAGGAAGGUGAGAUCUCCAUUGAAAUACUCUGGUGAGUCGAAGUAGAUGACGUUUAGAUUUGCACCGGGAGUGUCAAACACAGGGCUUCUUGGUUUAAUGGCAAGGUAGAUAAUCAAAGUUGCUAUGCCAAAAAAGAUGAGAAUAAGGCUGAAUAAAAGACAUAGAAUUGCACCAAACCAUACAACUGGGUUGGUCCGACGGGGUUGAGGGUGCAGGAGAAUUGGCUUUCUUAACCUUUUGCUGUCAUAAUUUCGUGUAACUGCUGCUGCUGCUGGACUUUGUUGGUUUCUGGCAUGCUUUGCUGUGUUUUGAUUUUCAGGCGUUGGUGCUGUUGAUUGUACUGAGGGUGAUGGACUUUGUAGGCUUCUGGCUUGCUUUGAUGUGUGGUGAUUUGAAGGCGGUGGAGCUGGUGAUUGUAGUGAGGGUGGAGGUGGGAGGGCAAGCAUCUUUUGACAAGUAAUUUGAAGGAAAACCUCUAAAACAAGAAUUUGGGAGAAGAUAGCAAUUGGAAAAUGUUGUUUCUUUAAAUAUUUGGUUGUAUGGAGAAUAAUAUAGAAAAAUUAUAAAUAAAUAAAUAAUAAAGAAGCUUUUGAUUUACGAGGUAGUGGGACCAUGUGUUGUUUUUGAGAUAGACGAAAGUAGGUUAAGGUGGAUUUUAAAGUUGAGAAAACUACAGAUUUCCAGAUUUGAAUUGCUUUUUUGCUUUUGAAUAUGCAGUGCUCUGUUAAGAAAAUGGGUGGGUGGGUGAGGGUCCUGCAUUGCCUUUGUUCUUGCCUAUUAAGAAAACAUCAUGAAUAAAAAAGCAAACAAAAGGGAAAUUUGAAUGGUGGACAAAGGCAAUGGAUAAUUAUUUACUGGUAUAUUAUAUUUGACAUUUGAUUUCUAAUAAUUGUGGAAUAGCUAACCCAUUUGCAAAGCUCUUUUCUUUUUGCAACAGUGCAGAUACGAAUGGACACUUUCUGGUUUGUGGUGGUGCUUGAGUUUAAACUCAUCCCAAUUCUAUUAGGGUUGUAAUCUAUUUCUACUUUCGUACUUUUACAUUUCAGAUACUGAAGUAAUUCUCAUUACAUUUCAGAUAAAAUAAAAAAGGCUUUUAUAAUAUUGAUAAUUUGCUAAAUUCAAUAGAAAAUUGAAAGCCAUUAACAACAUAUUUGGUAUCAAAUCUCUCCUAUUCUAAAUGCACCAACAAAUGACAUAGAAUUUCUCCAAAUCCUCUUUUAUCCUUGGUGCUCAGCAGCAAAUUAAACUCCUCUUGAAACAUAAAAGACUCCUGUGGAGUAGAAAGAUAUCAAGCAUUUUCUUUGUUUUUAAAAAGUGAAUCGAAUUAAACUAAUCGUUUGAAAAACGACUAACCCUUAAUAAAGUAUUAAGAAUUUUAUAAGGAUUCAAUUCAAUUAAUUUUUUUUUUUAAUAAUUUUUUUAUUUAAAUGAAAUAAUUUAAUUUUUUUAACCUAAAAAAUUUUCAUUUUCAUAUUGAGGUAAUAAAUUUUAAAACAGAAAUAAAAUUGCUAUUAUUAUUAAUUUUUCAAAAUUGUAUAUCUAUUUAUACCUUCCUUCAAAUUUCUAAUAAUAUUUUUUAUUGAUUAAAUUUUUUAAUUAUUUUAAAUAUAAAAAAAUAUUUUUUAUUAAUUAAAUUUUUAAUUAUUUAAAAAAUUAUUUAGUUUGAAAUUAAAAUUUAUUAUACAUAUAAAUAAAUUAAAUUACUCACAAAUUAUUUGAGAUUAAGUUAAAAUAAAAAUUCAAUCAAUCUAAAUUCGUUGACUAAAUAAAUCAAAUUCAAACCCUAUAAUACUCUACUUAAAUUUAAAAUGAAUAAAACUUAAAUUUCACUCAAAUCCAAAAAAAAAUUUAAGUAUGACUUCUUUAAAAUUAGGUAUACUUUCUAAAAAUUAAAUAACUAAAGGUUCGAUUUCGAUUAUGAUUAUUAGCAAAAAUCAGCCUAUAACCGGGACUGAGGUAGGGGCCAUUUCGAUCUGGUUCAAAGCUGAUUUCACUUUUGACCAAUUUUUGUUCGGUUUUGUCCGGACCGAUUUGGUCCACUUCCAAUUCCAAAAGCCGGACCGUGCCCACCACAUCAUAGAAGUUGGAGCUCCCAUCGUCUUCCGCUGGUGUCAGUACCGGUUGGCCAUUGGCGUCAACAACAGACUGGAAGAAACAUGUUAGGGCUUAAAAAUCUCUCACUCCCAUCGCCAAUCUUAUCGGUUUCACGACCCAAAUUCACUUUCCCUUUCUUCCCUCUGCAAACCGACAUAAAAAUCCCCAAAUUCCAAUCUAGAUUUCUGAUCUUCGCGCUAAAUAACAACAAUUCGGGAGAACCCAAAGAACAAAAACAAGAAAAGCUAAAUGGAUCGACUGAUAAUGGAACCAACGGUGACGAUUUGAAGAAAAAUCGACCUCCCUUACUGAAUAUCAAGUGGGGUGAACUGCUGCUGGAUUCAGAUCCUGACAAUAUCCUAGCCGUAGCAUUGACAGGGUUGCUCACAUGGGCAAGUGCUCAAGUUCUGUGGCAGCUGUUCCUAGUCUCUGCAGCCAUUCUUGUUGCUGCUCUCAAGUACUCUUUUAUUGCUGCUCUGCUUAUUUUCAUCCUCAUCACACUUCUUUAGUAAUUUUGUUUUCUUCAUACUUAAUUUUUCUACCAAUUUUGUACACUUACGUAAUGCAAUUCCCAAGUUCAUGUUAAAUUUUUGAGGGUUCUGUUGCCCGUCAGAUUUUAUUAAUUUUGAAUGGGUUUAAAGUUAUUGUUUGUGCAAUACUAAGGGAAAGGUGAAUGGAAUAUAAGCUUUAUCUCCUCUUCGUUGUUCAUGAUCUUUAAGGGAGGGGAAUGUGUGCCUUGGAAGCACCGAGUCAUUUUGUCGGCUCGGGUAAUUCACAGUAACUAAGCUACAAGUAAAAUUAUUAAUUGAAACUUAAAGGGUCUAAGGAGGACUUAAUGGGUAAAAUUCUCAAGGAGAUUGAGGUUGUAGAGAGCAUCACGUUUAUGAGGAUAGACCUUUACAGAAAAAUUGUUAAAAUGGAAAGAGCAUCAUACUGCCUACACCUUUGUUAAGUCGGUCAUGUCAUGUCAUGUGCCCAUUUUAAGUUGGAAGGCUCCAAUUUUACCAUGGACAACAUCAUCAAAGAGCUUCAAUGUUAAUGGAAUUUAAUUAUUAAAAUUACUAAUCCAGUUUGAAUUCAGAGAGUGAUUUUAGCAAAUAUUCUAACCAUUGCCAUGACGAAUCCAAGAAAAGUAAUUCGAUCUCAAGCUCAAACAGAAUAAUUUACUGCAUGGAUGUGAAUAUACAUUGUGUAUAAAUGGAUCCAACAGAACAUUACCAGCCUGAUAGUGAACUUAAUUGAAGAAACAAUGCUUUGAGUACAUAAUUGAGUUCUUCUAUAGUUGGUUAUCCUAACACCCAGUGGGGCUGGGUCAAUGGUCCAAAUCAAAAUGGUAGCUUUAACGAACACACAGGAUAUGGCUUCAAACGGCGAGAGAAUCGCUGCAUAUGAGAUAUAUUGGCGUACUUUGGAUUCCUUUGACCAUCACAUUCUCGAACCCAUCCCUGAUAGUGUCCAUGCUAUUUCAUUUGCCGUCGGUACGAUUGAUUUGUGCCCCCCAACACGAUGAAUUCAUGAUAUUACAAUCUUGUUCUUAAAUUGAAUUCUUGAUGAAUGAUAACUCAUUCAAUUUCUUUGACAAGUGAAAUAUAACGGAAUAUUUUUCUUUUUUUAGUAAUACCAGAGUAUACUUCAAAAUGACUGAAGUAUUCCAUAGGCCCAAUGACGAAAUGACUAAAUAUUCAACAGAAUCAAAUGCAAGUAACGAAAUAAACAACUUUAUGAAAAAAUUACAGAAAAGAAAAAAAGAAAAACUUCCCUUAGAAUUAAAGUUGGAAAUGUCUUGUUUCAUUUGAGUUCUCUUCAUGUCUAUGAUCCUAGCAGAAAAGUGAGGGCUAAGCAACUAAAUCUUUUUCAUCCGCAUGCAAGGAGAAAAGGUAAUUGCACACCGUAGAGAAAAUUUCCACCAACGCAAGGCCUAAUCUUCAUCAAACUUGAUCCUUUUUGGAGCAGACUGGACGCCUGCCACCUGCAAAACGACGGUAUUUUGAUUAUUCACAAUGCAGAAGCAACAUAGAAGCAAGCUAACCGUUUCCCCCCUUCUUAUUUAUAUACUUCCUACGAGAACCAAGAUGACCAAAAGAUUCUUACAAUUUCUGGGCACUCAUAAUCAAGGCCAGCAGCCUCUAUCAUCUUUUGCCGUUUCUGACCUCGCUUCAAAAUCUUCUCCACCACCUUCUUAUGCUCUUCAAGUGUUCUUUCCUGAGCAGCCAUAUAAUAAAAAUAUUUAUAAAGACAAGGAGCCGGGAAAAAAGAAAAGAAAAGAAAAGAAAAGGAAAGAAAAGGUUAAGCCUCUUUCUUUGUAACAUAAUCUGCCUGAAUUAUCACUUCUUAUCCACAUCACUUACCUUGUUCUGCCGUUUUCGCUCAAUUUGAACCUUGUCCAAUGGUUUGUAUCGAUAAUUAAAACCUUUCCACCUAUAUCAAGGGGUGAAAAAAAGAUGAAAAGGGAUUAGAAAUGCCAUGAGAACAUUGAAACUACAGUACAGUAGUCCAUAUAUGUUUAUUGAUUAGGGAAGUGAAUGGCGAUCUAUUUAAGAUUCUAUUCUUCCAUGUAUGGACAUUCUCUAUAAAAUUUAUACUUAAGACUUCCAUACUAUAAAACCUCAAUUCAUUUCAAUGCACCUAAAUGACUUGAAUAGUUCUAAAUGAUACAACUUUAACCAACUAAACCAUUGAAGUUCCUGUUUCAAAAAAAAAAAAACCACUGAAGUUCUAGAAACCCUAAAGCAAGAACUUUCAUUUUAAUGCACUAUGAAUUUAAAAUAGGACAAGCACAUCAUUUCAAAAAUAAAUAAGAUAGGAUUAACGAUAAAAGAAAAUCCAAACCUUACGGACCUUUUGUAGUUAUAGCCAAUUCCUUCUUUCCACCUAGAAAUUUUAGUCUUAUUUAAUAGGUUACUCGUUAUUUUAUAGGUUCAUUGUUUUUAGCUUGCAGUGACAAUUGAAUUAAAUCAGUUGACAUGCAUGGUUUUGACAGUUGAUCUCUCUCAAUUUUGACCGAGCACUAAAAAUCAGUGAGGUUUUAAGACCAUGCAAACAGACAUUCCAUUUUCUAAAUUAAAUUAAAGAGGAACUGUUCAACAUACUGUCAAAAUCCCAAUCCAAGAACAAUUUUACAAUCAAGUCAGAAAAUUUAUCCUUCUAAGUAAUUUUUCAGCUUUUUUUUCCAUUAAUUAGCAGAAAAGUCUGAAUCAAUACUUCAACACAAAGAACCAUGUGCAACUAUAUAACCUCACUGCGUGCAAUAUAAAAAAAAUAAUGUCAAAGAAGAAAAAUUUACAAUUUUGGAUGAACAUGCUCUGGAGGGAUGAGAUAGACUUGCAAAAGAUGCUCAAACAAUAGAUAAUUAUGCAUACAUUCAGCAACUACUUCUGCCACCUGCAAUCAGAAAAAACAUAUCCUCACAUGGAAAAAAAAAAUACUACAGAUGAUUUAAUGCCAAAUUCCACUAAAAUAAAUUGUACCUCAGGGUCUGCAAAUUCAAUGAAUCCAUAAUGCUUUGAUUUUCCAGUCUGUAAACAACCCAGAUUGAGUGAUACCAAGACAAAAACCACCAUAUCACAUAAUUGGCUUCACAAAAUAUAAAAACAAUAGUGAUUUUAGCAAAUAAGUAAUGAAAAUCUACAAUGAUGUCAGGAUUGAAACCUAGUAUGUCAAAUAUGAGCAUGUAAAGAAUAAACAGCAAAAAAGAGAUUUUCAGCAAGUCUAUAAGAGGUUCUCGCAUGGGAAAAAUAAGGCAAAGAACUGAUUCAUGUGAAAUUAAUUUAUUAGUUUAUUCAGAUUUAGUCUUUUACUCAUUUGUUUUUCCUGAUUCAAGCAGUAGUUAGUAUUGGUUGUACAAGAAACAGGACUUGUUUAGGGCAUAAACUCCUAACUAACAAAAGAAAAACAAUUGCUUAUAAUGAGGAAUUAGAUUGUAUUUAAGCACCUUGUUCUAAAAUAAAUAAUUCUAGUUUUAUUGAAGGUUGAUUCCUAAAAUUCUCAGAGAUCAGAAGGUUCCAGAAUGAGCCUUCAUUUCACACUCGCAACAGGUAACAAAGGGAAAGGCAUAAAACUAAAAAGCAGAAAUACAGCAAUUUCCUAUUAGAUUUCUCAGUGAAUUGCCCAAUUACUCAAUCCCAGAUUUGUUUCCAAGAAAUGAAAGCAUAAUGCAUUCAAAUUUAGUUGAAGCCCAUAUAGCAGACCACAAACACAGUCACAAUUAUUAUGAUUUCAAAAAAACUAGCUUGAAGAAACAUAAUAAAACUUUUUGGCUUCAUUUUGAAAAAGUUGUUUGCAAAACAGAGAAUUUAAUGAAAUUCUCACAGUCAAGUUUGAUUUCUAUUUAUUUUAAGAUGAAGUUUUUUCCAAGUUAACAUGAAAACAAUUGAAAUUCUCUUAUUCCAAACACGAAAAAUUAACAAAGCACAAAUCAAUUGAAUUGAAUUCUUAUAAAAUUCUAAUUUACAAAUAGACCGAAUAAGAAAACUGCAUACUGACUGCAUUAAGCCUGGAGAUGCAAGUAUGCAACAAAGAAAUAUAGUCCCUAGAUAGUUUUUGAGGGAGAUUCAUGAAACCCCCAACUGUAAGUGCAAAGCAGCCAAACAACAAUCACUCCAUAACAUGGUUGCUAUAUUUCACCAGUUCACCAACAUCCCGCAUUGCAGAAAACAUAUUAACAUUUAUAUAGUUUAUGCCACAUUAGCCUUGUUUUGUACAAUAUAAUGAUGAAACAUAGGAAUAAGACUGCAGGGCCACAAUAUUAAAUAAAUUCAACAAAAAUCCCCAUAACCCUCAAUAUUCCAAUUCUUGUGCUCACAAAAAUGUCACUGAAUUUUUUUAGUAACUAUCUUCUUAACAGUUAAACCUCAAAUCUUUUAAACUUCCAAGCGUCAUGAAUCAAUCACCCAUUAUAAUCACCAUAUCUACAAGCAAUAAGUAGGUUUAUCACUCUCUUUCUGAUUAGUUAAAAAGCUUUAUCAAAUUCACCAGAACAACCUUGAAAACAAGAAGCAUAUAUAUGCACAUAUAUGAAUCUGCACCACAUGUCUGGACGUCUUCAUAAAUAUAAUCAAAUCCACAUACAUGCAAAUUUUUAAUCCUAUGUCAAAAACAUUUAAUGUAAUUUUGCACCAAACCUUCUUGUUCCUUGCAAUUCUCAACCUCUUGAUUGUACCAAACUGGGAAAAGUAAGCUGUCAAAAAUAAAAAUAAUUAGCAUAAUCAAACAGUAAAAUCACAGUAUCAGUGUUGUUUUACAUUAAAUAUACAUAAAAAUACCUUCCAUUUCUUUCUCGUAGAAACCAUGUGGUAUUCGACCAAUAUACAAGACAGUAGCAGUAUUUCUACGCUCCUUUUGCUCAGGUAGCUUACGCCUAGGUCCACCAUCUAAGGGCUUCAAAACACAAACAAUAGAACUCAACAAUGAAACUAAAAAUAUAAAUGAAAAAUAAAAACAAGCAGCCAUUUCAGCGAGAAUAAAUCACAAUGAACCCACCAAGAAAUCAGCAGACUCUUUGUCAUUAGAUAAUUGAGACGAAGUAACCUUCUUCGAGUUCUUCUUUAAUGCUUUCUUCUCCUUAGCCCCCAUCUCACUGACCAGACCAAGCUACAGAAAUACAUUCAUAAACAUAAAGGUUGAGUUAGUCAUGAUAGUUUUUUUGGUUAUGGGCAAUUAAAGAGAUUAGGGAUGGUAUCCAGGAGGGCACCUGUUUAUAAAUACACUAUUUAAACCGUCCCAAGCCCGUUUAAAAAUUAAAUUUCAAUAGCCGUUUCCGUUCCAAAUCCAUUUUACACAACCCAUUUACUACCCGACAGUACCCGAACCAGACUAACUCAUAAUCAGGACAAAAAAAUUCAUAAAUUCACACAAAAUCUCACAUUUCAACAAAAUUCAGUAACACACCUCAAUCUCACAAAAACAACUUUGAUUGGAAAUAGUGUUUAUUUCAACAAUUUUUCAAUAAUCUCACUAAAACAACUCUUAAUCCAUUCAAAAUUAUCUUUAUUACAAAGAAUUUUCAAUAAAUCUCACAAACACAACCUUCACAUAAAUCUAAAUAUUUUCACAAAUUUCAGAAACCCACAUCAAUAGAUCUCACAAAUCUCGCACACAUCUGAAACCACAAUUUCAAAAAACUCAUCCAAACCUGCAGUGACAGAGGACGACGGCAGGACUGGACCAGCGGACGCAGCGACGAGGACCAGAGGAAGCGGCGGAGGAGAGCAAAGAAGCAACCAGGACCAGCGAACGCAGCAACAGCAACGACGUUUACAGCGUGAAGAGCAGAGGGACGAUGGGAGGGAGGCGCGCGGCUGUACCAGAAGAGAUGCGGAGAGGCAGAAGGGGGAGGGGGGAGGCAGAAGGGGGAGGGGAGAGGAAGGGAGGGCGACAAUGCUCAGGCUUGAGAGUUGAGAGAGAUUUUAGGGUUGGGGAUUUAAGGCCCUUUUUUUUUGUCAAAGAUUUAAGGGUUUCCUUGGCAACAGGGUUUAGCUAAUUAGGUGUAUCUUUUAAAUAAGAUUAGAAUAAUUAAUGGCCUGUUCAGUCUCUAUAUUUUAUUUAAAAUUGAAUUAAAUUCAAUUUGAUUUUAUCCGUUUAAAAUUUUAAUAAAUUUUUUAUUUUUUAUUAUUUUAAAAUUUAAUUAUAAUAUUUUAAUUUUAAUAUGAUUUAAUUUCUUUAUAUUAUUAAAAAUAAUAUACAAUUAUCAAUAAAUCAGUUCGAUUUAAUUUUUUUAAUUUAUUUUUUAAAUUGAAUCGAAUUAAAAUAAUCAAAAUUUUUAAAAUUAAAAUUUAAAUUACACCGAAAUAAAUAAAAAAUCAAACUGAAUUUUUAAAUUAAUUCAAUUCGAUCAAAUUUUUUAAUUUAAACCGAAUGUUACUCACCCCUAAACAUCCGCUACAGUUAUUCAUCAAAACAAGUAUUCUAUAAUUCCAUGAUUAUACUCCAAUUGAAAAAUUAAUUUUUUUCCUUUCACUCUCCUUUCUCUCUCUCACCAUCAGUUUCUUCGUUUUCACAUAUAACUCAUCAUCUUACAUGCUCUCUACCUCUUAAUCUUGCAGCAGUAUUCUUAAUCAUUCUUUUGUGCCUCUUCUCGACCAUCUUCCCCACAUCUCAUUCGGAUAUAGUUGACUUUUAUCAGUAGUUGCUUUAAUUUGAUAUGGUUGAAAUUUUUGACAUUAAAAUGAUCAUGUCCAAUUGAUUCUCCGAAUAUCAAACAUUAAUAAUUAAGUUCUCGAAAUUUGCCUUUAAACAUUUUAAUUAAAUUAAAUUAUACUCAAAUAUAAACUAGUUAUAUCAGCUCAAUUUGAAAAAUACUCUAAAAUCAUCUACCUCAAACAGUUUGCUCCCUUACAUAACUCCUGAAGUUCACGUGGGUAUACAAAUAUCAUCAUCCAUUUACCAUAAAAUACUACUAACUAUAAAAAUUUAAAUAUGACAUAUACAAAUAAUUAUUAUAUAAAAACAUAUUUUUAACUUGGCAAAAAUAUGUGAAGGCACAUGCUAUUGAACUGCUUUUGAAAGACAUAUGCAAGUGUCUCCUUUAACUUCUACCGAAAAUUCAACCAACAAUCUUAUCAAGGAGCUAAAAAUAAUUUCCGACCAUCGAUUUUCUCAUCAUCUAAAAAGAGAUUCCUUUCUUAUCACUCUAAUUUUUUUUUUUUCUUUUCCUUUGAAACUAAUAUAGUAGUAUAAUGACACACCCUUUAGAAAAUAUCAUGAGAAAUGAGUUACAAAUGACUUAUUAAGACGAUUGUUUUCACUGUUCACAGUGAUUAUUUCAUAUUCGUUUAGAAUUUAUUACCGUUUGUUCGCAGCGCAAUCUCAACUAUUCCUUUAGUAUAGUUAAUUAAUCUGAAAGAAAUUUCAACAAAAAUAUAUCUAUCACCAUUAUCUGAAAAAUCAUAGAUCGACUCAAAAUAUUUACAUGCAUCUUGAAUGUCCUUCGCUACAAAUUCCUAAUGAAUGAGUAAAACGAGUGCAAAAUUUCCAUGAAUUGUUAGGUGAUUAAGGGAAGGAGAGCAUAGAUGUGAGAAGAAAGAAAACAGAAAAAGAAUUGACUCUGUAUUUAUAAGUGGCAAAAAUCGGUUUGCAUUUACAUAAACUUUAGUUAGAUAAAAUUAUAAGGACACAUUUGUAAUUAUUCUAAUAAAAUUUUAUUUCUAUAGUCUACUAAUAAAUUGAAAGCGCAUUACACAAUGUCAUGCCCCUUGUAUACUCUUUUAAUUGUAAUAUUUUUAAUGUAAUUUUAAAAAUAUAUUAUUUUAUAUAUUUAAUCAUAAUAAGUGAAAGUUAUUACUGGAUUAUCGAAAAUUAUCACCAGAAUAUCGAAAAUAGUUACCGAAAGACCUAAAAUUAUUACUAAAAAACUAAAAAAACGUCGUUAGAGACCGAGAAAUCGAAAAUUCUCAAAGUAACACAAAAUUCUAAAGAUUGAAACCGCAUUUAACAAAACAUUAUAAGAAAAAUUUAAAAAUAAAUAUAAGAAAAAUUCAUUGUGUAAAGGAGAUUUGAAGGUUGGUGUUGGCAAAUGAGCCUCACACACUCAUUUAUAUAGAAAAUGAACAAAGAGAGUAGGGGAAGAAACUCUCAUUUUCUCAUCGUAAUAUCUUUUAAAAGUAACACAAUAACACGAUAAAAAAAAAGAAAUUUUAUGAAUCUAAAGAUUAAAGGACAAACAAAUGACUAAUGAUAUUAAUACAAAAAUCAUUAAAGGCCAGAAAUUUGAAUAGGCCUCUCUAUGAUUCAAUCCAAGCUAAAAAAUCCCUCAAGACCCAUUUCAAACUAAAAUUAUACUGGAAUUCGGUUUUUCUUAAUUUGCUAUGACUCAAUCACAAAAUCCAAAUCUUAUAAGAUAAAACUAACAAUAAGCUAUUUAAAGAGACAACUUUCGAGCGUGUGAUUUAUCUAAUAUUUUUUCUAAAUUUACCUUAGAUCUUUUACUGACUCAAACACCCUUAUUUUCUCAACGUAAUAUCCUUCAAAGAUAAAAUAAUAAAGCGAUAUAAAAAAGGAAAUUUUCUGAAUCUAAAGAUUCAGGGACAAACAAAGCACUAAUGAUAUUAAUAUAGAAACUAUUAUAGGUUCAGAAACCUGAAUGGGCUUCUCUACUAUUUAAUUUGGGCUAAAAAAUUUCUCAAGGCCCAUUUUAGACUAAAAUUUUAUAGGAAUUCAGUUUUUAUAAUUUAUUAUGACUCAAAUACAGAAUUCAAAUCUUAUAAGGAUAAAACUAACAACAAGCUAUAUAAAAGUGCAACCUCCACAUGUGUGAUUUAUCUAAUAUUUUCUCUAAAUUUAUCUUAGAUUUUUUACUUACUUAAGCAUCACACAUUUUAUCCACCAAACUAUCAGUAUUUCUUAUUAUUUUAUAAAUUCAUCCCGAAAAAAAAAAAAAAUCCUCCGGUAUUUCUUAUUAUUUUGUAAAUUCAUCUCCAAAGAAAAAUCAAAGCAUUAUCAAUUAUUAUUGUUUAAGAAAAUACAUGAUUAAUAAUAUAUUUGAAAGUAAAAAAAAUAUGACUAAUCAUAUAGUUACAAUUACACUAAUUUAAUGGUCAAUUAAAUUAUAUUUUUAUAAUAUAUUUUUUAAAUAAUUUUUUUAUAAUAUAUUUUCGACCAUGAUUGAUAUAUUUUUUAAAUAAAAUAAUAAUUAGAGUGAAUUUAAAAAAAAUUAAAAGGUGAGUUAAUUUAAAAUUAAAAUUAGUAGAAAUUAAUAUAACUAAAUUAUUGGUAAAAUUAAAAUGAAUAUUAUAAUAAAAUCAAAUAUUUUAAUUAUUAUAAAGUUUAAUUUUAAAUCAAAUAAUAAAAAAAUUUAGAAUUACACCAUAUUUUUAGUAAUUAUAUUUUAAAAUUUAUUAAUGUAGCAAAUAAUAUAAUAAUGACAUCAUAAAUAAUAUAACAAUUCCAUUUAACAUUAAUGGUAAAAAUAAAGAUAGAUAUAUUUAAAAUAAUAUAUAAAACUUAAAAUUUAAUUAAUAAUUAAAUUAAUAUAAAUAUAAUUAUAAAAUUUUUUAAAAAAUAUGAUUUUUUGAGCGAUUAACUUUUUCGGUAAUAAAAAAUAAAAGUUAAGAAAAGUUUUCUUUUGCCUCAAAAAAGGAAAUUAAUCAACGGAUAGCAAUCAAUGCAAAAUCUUGAUUGCCUUGCUAAUAAAACACCAUAGGUUUACCCACUCACCCUACUCUUUGACAAUUUUUGAAGCGUGGACCCCACAUCUGAUUUGGUGGUGACGUGUUCCCUCGAUCUACUCUAACAUUUAUCUGCAACCACCGUACAUUCACCAGCUGCCACCGCAUUUAUUUUUUAAUUAAAAAAAUAAAAAAUGAAAUCUCCAAUCGCUGCCACUCACUUUAGAGCUGUGAUAUAAACUUUAUCUGCACAACCAAACUUGCACUGUAUUUGGAUAAUCUUAGGAGAGGGGAAGGAAAACAAUUAUGAAAAUUUCCUUUUUAGUAUUGAAAUAAAUAAAGAAUGAAAAUAAAAAUAAAAAUAUUUUUUUCAUUUUAAAAAGUAGGAAUGAGAAUAAAAUAAUUAAAUCAUUAUAUUUAUUUUUUUAUAAAUUAUAAUAAAAAAUAUAAUUUUCAAAUUUCAACGCAAAAUACCUCAUACUUU